rnacentral:lncRNA from 1 species
GGGGAGGAGGUGGUGGAUUCAUGUUUGCACGCUGUUCCGCACCUCGGGUGCCACGAGACAUCUGUAAAGACACAGUCAGUGAGUAUUGAUGAUGACAAGAUUUGCCGCAGAAGAACUUAUAUUUAUGCCUGAAAGUAUUCGAGAGAAUAUCUUCACAGAAAAGGCACAAUAAUUCAAUUCCACAAAACAACAUCACCAAUCCAACACAUGACACAGAUAUCCGCAAUACGCACCACAACGGAAAACAUCGGCAUAACAUAACGAUCAUAAAAGACUGCACAUAGGGUCCAUAAAGUUAUUACACCAUCACAGUACAUGCCCUGAGUCAAGGUCAAGGUUCCAGAUUACAACAUGGCUACAAAAGCAUCACCCCUAGCUGCCAACUACAAAAGAUCCUCGCAAAACACUACCCACUACUCCCUAAACUCCAGGCUCGUCGUCCGAGUCAGCGUCGAAGAUUGCCUCUCCAUCCUCGUCGCUAACCGGCUCAAGCUCCUCGUCCUCCACGUCCUCGUGCAAGGGUGGUGCAGCCGAUGCUGGUCCAUCGACCUCCAUACCAUCAUCAUCGGCCACAAUCACCUGAGGUCCCACCUCUGGAUACACGGGUAUAGGGCGAGGAAUAGGGUGUAGCAAGUUGUUGAGACGGUGAAUCUCCACAAGGCCAGCCUCAAUCUGAUCCUGCAGAUAGUUCUCCCGCUCAAGCGACUGAACUCGGUGCAUCUCCCACGCUUGGCGCCUGUUCUCCGACACACGGAGUGCAGUAUCCCUCUCACGAGUGAGCUGCACCAAGCGCUCCUGCAAGGUCUCCCUCUCUCUAGCUAACUGGCUCAUCUGAUCCUGCUUAUGAUCUCUCUCUCUAAUGGUUUUCACCCACUGCUGCCUACGGUACUCCGCAAUGCCUUCCCAGUCAUUGCGGUCCUUCUGAGCUUGCUCCAGGAGUCUAGCUUGCUUGCGAAACUUGCGAGCACGCUUUUCAGCCUUCCGCUGCAUCUCCUGGGCUCUGCGAACAGCCACCAUCACCUGUGCAUAGGUGCCCUCUCGCUGACUGAUCAGCUUAAGCACAGCCAUCAUAGCACUCAUAGCAGGACUAGAACUCUCAGCUCUCUCUCCUCUGCCUCGAACCAAAGCAUAACCAUCAGCCUGUUUCCACUCCGCUACUGCUGGGUCAGCACUAGGAAUGGAGGCUGCUGGUCCUCCUGUCAACUCGUCUCCAAACCUCUGACAGAUAUCGAGCAGGAUAGUCUGGGCUACAACCUGAGCUGCCUCCCAAGGAGUCUGCCCAUCGGAGCUACAAGUCCAGCCUGUCCAUGCAGGCUUGUCCCCAUGUGGAGGGACAACUCCCUGCACAGCAAACCACUGAAUCCCUCCUGUGCUCUCCAUCUCCCACCAAGAAUACUGAGGUGGCUCCGUAUACCCAACAGUCCGUAACACCCUCCAGAGCAGGGUAGGAGUACCAAACUUGUGCAAGAAAGUGUCACUGGGACGGGGUGAAGCGGGUGCGUCCAUCUGUUGAAAGGAAUAGGAACACCAUGGGUAACAGAAGAUUAGUUAAGCCAUCAUUUAUUUAUUUAAAAGGGACGAAAUUUUAAGGGGAGUAGACAGAAUGUAUGUAUGAAUGCGACAUGAUGCAUGCACGAACCGUACGUCCUCACAAACUUAGAAAAUUAAUAUUCUAACGGAUAUACGGUGGCAUACAUUCGUCUCUCGAUACGAUAACUAUCGAUUUACACGUGCGCUGUUAGAGAGCCUGCAGAAAACUUCAUUUCAGCCCAACAGUUCCCAAUAUAUCACUCAAGAAAGCAGUGACUAAGUGCACAUUGCUCGGACAUGCCCAACAUGAACAAACAAUGACACCACAGCUACCCGAGAAUUUAAAUGCUCCCCAAUUAAGUUUCUUUCAUGGUUCCAUGGUUUCGACAUGUACCCACUCCAGAAAACCACCGCGAACACUCCCCAAGACCGCCGUUUGGACGAUCAUGCUCUCACAGCUCACACUUACCAUGGCGUAGGUGCGACGUUGCAUAAUUUAAAUCUAGCAACAUAUGUGGCUAAUUCACAUAUGAAGGCUACCUCCACCAUUAGACCACAGGGUAGCAUAGUGCGGUCAUCACACAUCCAUACCUGAGUACUGCCGGAGAUGCAUAAAUAAAACCCCCAAAGUCAGUACUUAAAUAGCCACCUAUAGUCCUUAUGUGGGCAAGGAGGAUUCGACCACUGGCAUAACUUAAUUACUUGUUUUACACCAUUUUAUUUAAAAACUCUUUUGUUUUAAAUACACAAACGCCGUAUUUAUAAUGCUGAACUUGCUCCGAUGCCAGCUGUCACAGAACCGACCAAAUUAUAAGAGUUCAAGUGUAGAAACGAUCGACAAGCAAUCAAGUUUCCAAACUUGAGCCCAUAUAAUCCCGGUAGUCAAUCGAAAUCAGGAAGGACUUCAAACCAACUCGCAACAAACCAAGAUCGUAAUAGUUCAGCAUAAACACAACGAAUGUUACAUAGUCAUUCAUUGCCGUCGAAGCGGCACCACAUCGGAGUAUUAAAUUAUUACAACACUGGUUCGAAGUAGCGGAAGCAAAAUAGUUACACACACAUUCCAAAGUUCAGUUCAUAAGUUCGGGUUACUGCCAGAGUCUAUGCCAUCCUUCCAAAAGCAUCAAAGACGAGAUUAUAGAACCGUGCCCAACGGUUAGUCCUCAUCCCCAGCGGGAUGGAGACAAGUCUUGCAGAAACUGUCAUAGAAGAUGUCAUCUGCAACAGGUGGGAAUAAACCCUGAGUACGAGAAUGUACUCAGCUAGACUUACCCGUCUAGUAAAACAUAAAAGACACCAAGAAUCAUGCAAGGCUAAAUAUCAAGUGGAGCUGGUUGACUCACCUUUUGCCAAAAGCUUAAAUUACAAUUAAGUUAUUUUGGAAGCAUCAUAUUUAUUUAUCAUCAGCCUAUCACUAGAUUAGCACUUGUACUACAACACAUCACUUGAUUAUUACAAACAAUAAUAACCAUAUCAAAUUCAUCAUAUGUUCUUCUUGCUAUCAUCAUUAUCAUGAACCAAGUUCAUUAGUGAAUGCUACGUUUGCCGCUGCUCUGUCAAGUUCUCACUAACUGGGAGAGACGGCGAUUCGAAUCGAAUUCCUAUCCAGCUGGAGGAUUAUUCCUAGCACUCACCCAAGCAUCCCCUGCUGGAGAGCCAACGGGUCACCUUUGGUACAAUUCAGGAAUCGCGGCUCCGAUCAGCGCCGCACUCCCAGGGCUACCACUCUGCCAGGGAGGUCAGGAAUGACACCGCACUUCCUCCGGUAGUGCGCACUUUAUACUUGCCGGUCUUCCGGCCUGAGUCAUACUACUCGGCUUCGCGGUCGGAACGAGUUAUCCGGCCAACUAAGUGUCAGGCAUACGUUCAACAUGACAAGAGGACGUACAACGAUCGGUCCUUAGCUGCCACAGACGGAGUUACUACAAACUUGCAAAACUCCGCCCGGCUUAAGUCAAUUUAAUCAGGUUCCAUCCACGAUAGCACAUAUAGACCAUCGUGAUCCGACAUAACCCUAUCUCGCGCAGGUGACAGGAUAUCACCCGACUUCUACCGGUUAAAGCAUGGCUAAGCUGCUACUCGAUCCUAACUUUACAACCAGGGUGUGGAGAGUUAUCUGACCAAGGAUAGAGUAGAAUGCAGCAAGGGUUUUCAUCACAACUCCUAAACUUAAUGCAUCAAUAGAUAAAACAUAUUAAGUAAACUUUUGAAAGUAAAGGGAGACUUAGAAUGCUCCGGGGCUUGCCUUUCACGAACGACACCGGCUCGUGAUUCGAGCACUCAACUUUUUCUUCGGGCUCCUCGAGUCUGGCUUGCUGGACCUCCACCUCCUGGUUGCCUUCCUGGCCUUCGGGAUUCGCUUGGAGCUCGAAGGAAACGGUCACGUCCGGUGCACCUAUUGCAUGCUCGAACAAUAAGAAGAUGCACAUGCUAAAGAUGAAUACCUAAUAACACAAGCAACUCACUGGAUACUCAUUUACGGAGCAAAAGUUAUACAAGCUCACACAAGCAAACAAGUUAGCUUAGCCCCAAAACCUAUCCUGAUACCAAAACAGCAAUCAACAUAAAACAGGAGUAACCUGGUAAUUAAAUCAUAACUAAUGAUAGACAGAUCCAACAAACACAAACAAAGACAUUCUGGAAAGCUUAUGAAAUUGUCUACAAAUCAUCUUUAAACACCUCAGCAUGAUUCAAACAUUAAGCCAGUCAUUUAAACAGAGUUCCAGGUUCUGUCCCAGAAAAACAGAGAACACCUAUUUCUGGAACCCAACUUGGAACAGCUAUAACUUUUAAACUACUUGGCCAAAUGACCUCAAAUUUAAACCACAGCUAGCUCUAUAAGUUUAGAACAACUUUGAUUUACACAAGUUUCAUAGAAAGUCAAGUUAUCAUUAAGCAAAGUUAAAUUGCUCACUUGCUGUCCAGAACAGCAUUUAACCCUAUAGUUAAUUAUUUAAUGGCAUGACCAAAACACAAACAAUGCCAAUCACAUAGUUAUGAGCACAAACAUAUUACCAGAUUACCAGAACAUCAGAUGGAAACCCCAAAACAUUUACUUAACAAGGCAUUUAUUAAUUAAUUCUAAAUAAGAGCAUAAUUACAAGAUACUAGUCAAAGUGCUCAGAAAAAUCUACAAAAAUUACAGAAGCACAAGGACAUCAUCAAAGUAUCACCAUAAAAAUUUCAGAGCAAUUGCACAUACCAAAUUAAAGAUAUACAUUUGACAUGUGCCUAGAUGUUUAUUUCAUAAAUUCAGAAACAUGACUUAUAUUAUGCCAAACAACAGAUUUCAGAUUAUUUACACAUUAGGAAUGACAUCAACCAGUUUACUACCAAAGUAGAGCACCAGCAUAAGUACCAUUUAUUUUAUAUGAUUUAAUUAAAGAAACAAGCCACAUUUCAAUCAUAAACUACAUAUCAAAGCUGCAGUAUUCCAAAAAUCAUGACAUAUUUACCAAAGUACUCUAAUACCAUACAGAGGCUACCACAAAAUUUUCAGAGCAAACUAAGCAAUAUAACCAGAGAUAUGCAUUUAUCCAUGAAUAACAAGAUUAAAUCCUUAAAAAAUAAUUUCCCAGAAAACAUGGUUCAUUUUAUAUUUUUAUUAAAAACUAGCCAUCUCAAGGAAUACCACAAAAUUGGUUUCACAAUUUUUGGAUCUCAGAAACAGGAGAUAUGAUUUUUGCAUGAAAGCCAAAAAUCAGGAUUUUGAAUAAAAGAAAAGGAGGGAAAGAGGAGACACUGACAGUGGACCCCAUCUGUCAGGUCCGUCUUCCCCGCGGCCGAGGCGACGUUCGCCGGUGAUUUCUCUGCAACGGCGAGGUCUCCGGCCAAACCACGGGCAUCAGCGUGAUCCCCAAACCCUAACGAAUCGAUUGACCCCCUUUUUCCCACGGCGGAGCCACCGGAAGGAGCUCACCGUCGACGAUGGCGGCUCGGCGGAGGUGCUCGGCGUUACGCCGGAGCCCUCAGGCCGGUAGAGCGCAACCUAAGGCCUUCUACAGCACCAGCGGACUACGGCGAAGCUUCCUAGGUACACAGCUUGGCCUGGAUCCUCGUGGAACAAGCUGGCCACGAGAGCACCCAUCUCCGGCGGGAGCACGGCGGCGCUGCGCACCGUGUCCGGCGACGGAGAGCUUGGUAGAGCGUCCACCAAGUGGCGCGAAAGCUCGCUAAGGACCUAAGCUACCUCUAGGACCAAACCAGAGACGACGGGAGGCUUCAUAGAGCUCGGCAUUGAGUUCGCCGGAGAAAACGGUCACGGCGACCCGAUUUGGGGGAAGAAGGAAAUGUCGGCUCACCGGUGGGAUUCUCGGCGAGUUAGAGGGUGGAGAUUGUAGAGCGGUUCACGGCGGAGCUUUGGGUGAAGUUUGGUGAGCAAUGGCGCAGCAGGGAACGCGCGCGAGCUCGCCGGAGUAAGCUCACGGAGAAGAGCUCUCGGCGGCCGCGUUUCUGGCGAACUGGGCGAGGGAGAGCGAAGUGGACGCGUCCACUCUGCGCGGGGCAUCGCCGUGGACGUCAUGCGCGCGCGCUAAGCUGACGAGCUGGGCCAUCGCCGGCGUACGGACGACAUCUGGCGGACAGGUGGCGUCCUGGCCAUUCCCGACGGUGAGCUCGGUUUCCAUUCAGAGACAAAGGUGACCGACUGACAGAGCAACUUCACCAAAGAUUAUCUCCCAAACCAGACCGAGUUAGAAGAUGAUGCAGUUGACAAAGUUGGAGUUCCAAACGAGUUCUACAACUUGUUCAAUUGGAGCAAAGGCCAGAUCGGCUUGGAUUGAAAGAUAUGGAGUUUUCAAAAUCGAUCGAGCAAACUGGUUUCAUCUCAAGACUUAGAAAAUUUUCUAAGUGUUGGAAACAGCCCCAAAUCUGCCUUGUGGGCCACUUUUGAGCUAUUUUUUGAUCAUUUUCAUGAGAUGGCCAUAAAACAACUUUUGUUCCUUAUACAAUUUGCUACAACUUUGCUGUAGGAAGUUUUGACAUGCAAACAUUUUAUGAAACACUUUUUAAAAGCCUAAGCAAAAGAGGUUUCUAGGGCCUAUUUUCAUAAGUAUGACUUAGAAGCAUAAUUUGGUGAAGUGAUCAACAUGAACAUUGUUCCCAAGAUUAAGUUAAGCAUAGAUAAACUAAUUACCAAGACAUUAAGCACAAACACAAGCAUUGAUCACUCAAACAUAAGCAUAGGAAGCCUAUUUAAGCAAUUUAAAACACAUUUUUGCAUAGAAUGACAUGCCUCAAGAUAGAUGAUGAUUAUGAUAUGCUUUGAGUAGAUGAUGAUGCUCAUGCUAUGCACAUGAUCAAUGCAACCAUAACACUGGGGUGUUACAGGUCAGGUGCCAUAUAACGCCUUGCUUGCCAUAGCUCUGACUUUGGGCGUCUCGAGGGGGGUCUUGACUGGACGUUCCGACCCACUCCCUGCGCCCUGCCACGUUCUGGCUUGUUCGCUGGGGAAGGCUGCAAAAAGAACGACUACACAUGUGCUUGUUCCCUAUCACGCUUCCCGUGACUGAAGGGUUAGGUGAGAACGCGGCAGGUGCAUUAAAUGCCCUGGUUCCCAUGCCCGCAUCAAGCCGCGGGCGGUGGCCUUGUGCUCGAGGCUCUUCGAUUCGUACGAGCCUAUUUCCGUAUUCGACGGUAGCCAGCACUCGAGCCCUAGUUGAUUCGUAGGACGCUCUUUCGGUGUUCGUGGAUACGGUAGUCGAGGACCGUGCGUACAACUGGGGAGGGGCGUCGAGUCGGAGGCCUCGACUUUCGUACGGAUGCUCUCGCUAUGUACAUCAGUUAGGGUACCCCUUACUGAUAUCCUCGACAGUAGCCCCCGAGUCUCUAUUCGAGCGCUUGCGCACGAGUGGAGGCUCUUUUUUGUGGUCGAGUUUCCGUGGGGGCGCCCGAGCGACCCCGCGGGGGUAGCCCCCGAGCCCUUGGAGGAGUUUCUUGACUCCUUCGAGGGUUGUAUUGCCUAAUUUGCGGAAGUGCUCUCGAUGUCCAUCGUGGAAGACUUCGAUUGGUUUGUUUCACACAGGGGUCACGACGUACUCCCGGUGGAGCCAGCGUCAUCUACCCUAGAUUGAGCUCUUAGCGGGUAAUGCAAGUGAGAACCCGUGCCCCGUUCGAGGAGGUCGGCUAUAGCCUGGAGGUGUUCUCAUAAAGCGGGGUCGAUGUGGUCGGGGUUACUGGUCUCGUUCGAUAGAGUCUAGCGGCUCGAUGCCUCCCUUCGGGGGGAUUCCUCUCGACCAUUUCGUCCUCGCCUUGGACAUCCCCAACGAGCCCUCGACGGGGGCCUCGUUUUUCGACAGCUCGCUGGGCAUCCCUGACUCGGGUACUCGAGAUCGGCUGUCGAACCCGUUCGGUGGGUCAGCCUGCGACCUCUCGAGGUUCUCAUGUACACGUACCUUGGCUUACAGGAGAAGGAAAAGAUCACGUCGGUUCGCCUUUUUGCCCGUUGGGCGCACCUUUUUAGGCGGGAGCCGUUACAACACUGUACCGGCGCAGAAUUCGUAGCGUCCCGUCUGUGAGAGAGAUAAGGACCGUUAGGCGGCGCAUUUAUUGGAGAAGUUACCGUAUCCGUCUGAUCCGUCUGUUGGUGGGUUGCCGUCUAUAAAUGUCCUGUGGUCUUCCUGCCGUCAUUCCUUCCGCCUUCUGCCCCUGUUCUUGUUCCUACUUCCUUGCCAUCUCUCGCGCGCGCGUACCCUCGAGCAGUAGUGAAGUCACCCUUCUUCCACCUGAAAAUGCCGGUGAGACUCAUCGCCGCCGAUGACUGGCGCCCGUCGUCGAUGACGGAGCGCCGGCUAUUGGAGCUCGAGAGGGAGGGACUCCUGCGCCCCCGCACUUCAUCAUCGCGGCUAGAGUGGAUUGCGCCGGCGGCGGACCACCUGGAGCCAAGGCCACCCAAGGGCUAUGUGGUCUCCUUCGCCAAAUUCCACCGAAAUGGCUUGGGCUCUCCUCCAUGUCGUUUCAUGCGGGCACUCUGCCACCACUACGGGGUGGAGCUCCAACAUUUUUCGCCGAACGCCGUCACCGCCGUGGUGGUUUUUGCCGCGGUGUGUGAGGGCUACCUAGGGAUGAUGCCUCACUGGAACUUGUGGCUCCACUUGUACCGGGGCGAGCUCUUCAAUGCCCCCGGUGGAACCGCAGGGGUGAGGAAGCCCGUACGGGCCGGGUGCCUCAAUCUAGUGCUCAAGAUCGGCAAGUCGGAGAGGCCGCGCGAGUACAUCCUGGUGGGGUUGACGUCGAACCAUGCCGGAUGGACUCCCAAUGGUUUUACUUACGGAACGAAGACGACCUCCUCCCUGCCUACACCGGGCGUUUGAUCUCGGAACGUCUGGAUCACUGGAAGUAUGGCGUCGUCCAGGCCCACCAAUCGCGGCUUGACCCCCUCCUCAAUGCCUUAAAGAAGCUACGCGAGGAAGGCCUAACAGCCGCUCUCGUCCUCUCGGCCGUCCAUCAUCGGAGGGUUCUCCCGUUGAUGUCUCGGCCGUUGAGGUUGGACGAGAUGGGUCCCGGCAUUUCGUCUCGGGAUCUCGAGGCUUGCCGGAUAUCCAACGAGGCUCCGGUGGACGACGAGGUUGCGGCCUGAGUCAGGGCGGCCGUUGCUGGUGACUUCCAGCUGGAGCACGUCAACGGCUUCCCCAUGAUGCCUGACAAGGGAUCCAUCGACCUGGUAAGUCCUUAUCCUAUGUAUGGUUUCGAUUCUCGAUUUUCUUCGACCUCCUUUGAGACUUAUCUUGGCUCGUGCAGGGAUCGAUUGAUGCUCGAUCCUCGAAGCCUCCGUUGAAGGAGGAUGAUGUGGAUCGCGACAAGAGGCGCGAGUCUGCGGAGAAGUUGAAGUCCGCAAAGGACUUGGAAAAGAAAAAGGAAAAGAAGAAAAAUCUCGCGCGACAAGUGUUGGAGACGCGUCGGGCGAAGUCUAGGCAGAGGGGGGAGCCUGAGGAAGAAUCCCCCGAUGAGGAUGAUGGCGGCGACGGUGAUGACGACAGCGACGACUCCGAGGGGAUGGCAUCCCGUCUCGACCGGAUCCUCGAGGGCGCCCCUCAGAUCGGUGUCGACAUCCCGCGGAUGGGAGUCCCAAAGGGGGUGCCAAGUGGGCCUCGUGACAGUCAACAGAGGGAGUCAUCUCCGUGCCGCUCUCGCGUCGACACCCCUCCAGCGCCCGCGCCACGUCGGACCGUCCCCCGCCCCCAACCUCCCCCUGCAUCUAAGGCGGGCGACUAGGUUAAGUCUGUGGCGACGGGGCCGUUGACCCGCGACCGCGCCGCGGCCUUGAGUAAGGGGGAAACGGGCCGUGGGAGUAUUAGUCCAGGCGCCGGCCAGGUGGGAGACGCCGAGCCGAGACUUGCGCCCGUUUGUGAGGGGCCCGGAGCCUUGAAACGGGGUGACUCGAGGCCUGCUAGUUGAGGCGCUGGUAGGCGGGUCGCUCUUCCUGUGGGGUAAGAUUUUCGACGUUAUGAUUCUCACCUUCCGAUGUCUUUGCGUUUUCUCAGGUAAUGGCUUCUCUUAUGCUCGUUCCUCUCUCCUCAGGUUGAAGCGGACGCUCGAACAGACCCAGCCCUUGAUGGCCAAGAGGCUUAAAGUGGGAGCAGCAUCCAAAGAAUUAGGUUAGCAGUUCAUCCCCAUCACCUUAGGAGUCGUGUUGCUUUUAUGUCGAUCGUCAUGGCGACUGACUUUUUGCUUUUGAAUGCUUACAGGCUCCUCUGACCCUCGGCCGUCGACUGGUGUGGAGAGCGCUCCGCCUCGUCCGUUGGUGGGGGAGUCCACCACGCCGUCGCCGAAGCGGGUCGUGGCGCCUCACUACCAAGGGUAGGAGGGAGCCCCCGAGCCUCCCCGAUCUAGGGUCGAAGGGGAUCCUACCACAAUAAGUGACGGGUCCAGCGGCGACAGGUCUUCGAAGGACGCCUGCCCCAUGGACGAGGAGGUCGAGGCCUCUCCCAUCGCGAAGCGGACGCCUUGCCCCGUCGGGCUCCACUCCAUCGAGGAGCAGACGAAGAGAGGAGAGGAAGAACGCAAGCGGGAGACGCAGCAACAGCUGUCGGAGGGGCAGCAGCAGCAGCGGGAAGGAGAAGAAGGAGAGGAGGGGCGGUGGCUAGAAGAAGCCCAGCUCGAGGACCUACUGGAGCAGGACCGGCAGCAGGAGCUACGGGAGCUCCAGGAGCAGCAACAGCAGAGGAGCCAACAGUUAGAGGAACUGCUCGAGCCACCACCACGCAGUCCGCCCCAGCCAGUGCCGCCCGCGCCACAAGAGCCUGAGACCGGGGAGGAGGGUGUGCCGGUCUAUGGUCCGCCGACCCCGGCGUGGCUCCGUCCAGGAGCACCCGCUUCUAUCCCGGCCGAGUCAGGGCGGGCGGAUGGCGUGGUGGCGCUCACAAGCAUGAUGCGCACUCCGAUGGACGCUCAGUCCGAGAUCAAGGGUACGAUCUACGGCAACGAGGGGAUCGCUCUUGGGUUCCUUCGAGAGCGUCGAUCAUGGGAGGACCGCAUUCCCGUCGAGGAAGACGAAGCCGGGACGACGGACGGCGGUGGUGCUAGCUAGACCGGGACCUGGAAGACCGUGGAUGACGACGGGCGAUUCCCCUCCCUCAUUGACCUGUUUUUGCAUCAUGGGGGGUCGCUCGAGACCAUCCAAGAGCUCAUUUGAGGCGUCAAGUCGCGCGCGGAGGAGGAUAUGGAGAACUGGUGCCCCGACCGGAUCCGCAUCCGGGCCUCCACCGAGCCAUCCGAGCCUAACAUCUUUAUGGAGGAUCGGAAGGAGGCUGAGAAGUGGGAGCAUCUUGAGGAGCUUCGCCUUUGGAUGAAGCAUGUGGUGGGGCUCCUGUCCGACGUCGUCAAUAACAGGCUCGGUCCGGCCUACUUUUUGAGUGUCUUCGGGCAUUAGUUAUCCUAGGACAUUUUGGUUCUGUGUUCUUACUGUUCCACUGCUGGCUCACAAGACCUGAAAGAGACCUCCAGCAUAAAGUUGAGCUUUAUCCAUGCGACGAGGGGUUGCUGGGAGCAACUCAUUCUCCUCAAGGACCAACUCCUGGAAUCAUAGGAGAAGCUCCUCAAGGCUUACAAGGAGCUUUUGGUGCUCGAGGAGGAGAAGGAGAGGGAGGCCGCUCUGGCCGAAGCUCAGGAGGCCUCGAGGAAGGCAGUGGAAGAGGCCACGCUGCUGAGGGAGCGGACCUUGACGGUCGAGGAGGCCGCGUCCAAGGCCCAGGAAGAGGCCGUGUUUUACAAGGGCGCGGCCGCUGACCAAGACAAGGAGAAGAGUCUCCUCAAGGCUAACCUCGCCUCUGCCCGAGAAUCCUUCCAAAAGAUGAAGACGUAGUGCGUGAAUGGCGAGAUUGCCGGAGCGCCGCGGAGGAGGCCAAGAAGAAAGCCCAAGAAGACCUCGAGGCAGAGCGAACUCGCUCACACGGGCUCUCUAACGAGGUCGACCGUCUAAAGAGGGCGCUGCUAGAGAAAGAGGGAGCUAUGGCGCAGGCGGGCAAGGUGAUCGAGGACCUGCGCAUCACCAACACCGAUCUGGCACGCUCCUACAAGGAGAUUGAGAGGGCCAAUACCAACUUGGUCGGUGAAAAUACAGCUCUGGAGGAGAGGAUUCGCGGUAUGUUUCUAUUAUCGAGUUUCCUUUCUGAGGUGUGCUUUGUGUUAUCUAACUUCUCCGUGUCGGUCCUUGUAGGGCUUAAAGAUGAGCUGCUUGCUGCUCAAGUCGAGGCCCGCUCCACCAAGACUCAGCUCGAGGGGGAGGUCGCUUUGAACCGUCAGCUGCGUACGGCGAUAAGCGAUCUCUCGGCCUCUUGGGAGCUCGAACCCAUGGACGAGUCGAGGGAGGCGGCUCGAGGCGAUGCACUGGUCGACCAGCUAUGCUAUCUAGGUGCCACGCUGAGGGACCGGGUGCGGGACGCCCUUCAUACCGGGGUAAAGCGGGCAAUGGCGGUUGUCUGCUCAGGCUUUUCCUACGAUAUGGAGGUGGUGUCCCACGGCUUUGUCACCGAUAUUUCCAAGACUGACGCAGAGAACGAGGAGAGGCUCCAUGCCUUGAUCGACGACGCGGAGGCUCCUAGGGAAAGGCUGGUGAGGCUGUUCGAGCCGGAAGUACUUCCUCCCGAGACUAGCUCGGACGCGGACGAUGGUGGUGAGGGCCGAGAUGCAGACUGAGGCCUGCGAGCCUACUCUGGCUGCUAAGGCCCCUUGUACAGUACUUCUGUCUUAAGGAAAUGCUAUGUUUUUUAAAUGGUUUAAAAGCCUCUGAAUACUUGCUUAUUCCUAUGUUCGCACCCUCUUUUGUUUCCAUUCUGCCUAUGUCUGUAUUCCCUGUUUGGUAUUUUGUUAAGGCGACCUCGAUUGCCUCGAGGGUGAGGGAGCGAGUAGAGUUACCAUAGCCCGGGGGCGUAGGAGUUCUCAGGCUCGUCGUCUCUUGGCCCCUAAGGGUCUCGAGGUGCUUCUACUACUCGACCGUGCGAGGUUUACUGGUAGGAAAGAAAGAAUCACUUGGUUUUUAGACACUUUGGGGGGAUCCCCCUGGUAGCCCCCGAGGGGUUAUCGACUAUGAUGGGUCAUAGGUGGUACUACCUUCUAACGUUGAGACUUUGAUCGACAAAAAGGUAAAUUACUUGAAGAAAAGAUCUUAUUCAUUUGUGCGAUCAUUCGUAAGAUCUUCAUACAGAAUGUACAUGAGAGCAUAAAGCUUUUAAAUUUUAGGGGUAGAAUCGACGUAACUGUUCGAUGUUCCACGCGUUGGUGAAGAUUGCCCCUUUUUCAUUCGCGAGCUUGUAUGUCCCCGGCUUCAGGACCUCGGCCACCACGUAUGGGCCCUCCCAGGGCAGAGUCACCUUGUGGCGUCCUUGGUUGCUUUGCCACCGAUGUAGGACAAGAUCACCCACGUUCAGAUCUCUCUUGCGCACGUGCUUGUCAUGAUAGCGUCGAAGCUACUGCUGGUAUCUGGCAGAGUUGAGGAGGGCCAUCUCUCGAGCUUCUUCGCGCUGGUCGACUACGUUCUCUCGAGUAUCCUUGUUUGUCUGCUUGUUGUAGGCUUUGAGUCGAGGGGACCCAUACUCGAGGUCUGUUGGGAGCACGGCCUCGGAGUCGUAGACUAUGAAGAAUGGGGUAUAUUUUCUGGCCCUGCUGGGCGUCGUCCUCAAGCUCCAUAGGACCGAAGAGAGCUCUUCGAGCCAUUUCUUGCUGAAUUUCUUCAACCGGUUGUAAAUUAUUGGUUUGAGCCCCUGCAAUAUCAUGUCGUUGGCACGCGCGACCUGGCCGUUAGUUCGAGGGUUAGCCACUGCCGACCUGUUCACACGGAUGUGAUUCCGGUCGCAGAAGUCCAAGAACUUUUUGCUGGUGAACUGAGUGCCGUUGUCGGUGAUGAUGACAUUGGGAAUCCCAAACCGGUGGAUGAUGUCGGUGAAGAAAAGGACGGCUUGCUCAGAGCGGAUGUUAGUGAUGGGUUGAGCCUCAAUCCAUUUGGAGAAUUUGUUAAUGGCUACCAGCAGAUGGGUGUAUCCUCCUGCCGCUUUCUGGAGAGGCCCCACGAGGUCGAGACCCCACACCGCGAAUGGUCACGUGAUAGGGAUGAUUUGGAGGGCAUGAGCGGGGAGAUGCGUCUGCUUGCAUAAAAUUGGCACCCAUGGCAUGAGCGUACGAGCUCGAUGGCAUCAGCUAUGGCCGUUGGCCAGUAGAAACCCUGUCAGAAAGCGUUCCCUACAAGGGUCCGCGGAGCGGCGUGGUGGCCACAAGCCCCCGAGUGUAGAUCCUUGAGGAGCUUUUGUACAUGCUUUAUUUUAACUUGUAUAAUCGACACACAUCCUCAUUUUCCCAUUCUUUUUCUUAACUAGUACAGGGUUUGCUAACCAGUCGAGAUGGUGAACCUCCUUGAUGAAUCCGGCCGUCAAAAGCUUGUGGAUCUCCUCGCCAAUGAUCUUGCGUUUCUCAUCGUCGAAGCGACGCAACCGUUGUUUCACUGGCUUGGAACCGGCUCGAAUUUCCAAGGAGUGCUCGGCGACUUCCCUUGGUAUGCCUGGCAUGUCCGAGGGACUCCAUGUUGACGGUUCUUAAGUAUCAAUUUUAAUUAUCAAAUAAACAAGAGAAAGGACCAAUAUGCAACUCACACAUAGAAUUAGGGUUUGAUCUGACAGAAUUCCACGAGUUUUGUUGUUUAUCUAUUUCUGCAGGGGGUUAUCAGGAAAUAAGGAAGAAAGGCCCACAUGUUAGGAUUACAUAGAGAUAUCAACGCACCGCGCAAUUUUACAUCAUCUAGAAGACUCCAGAAGCCACAAGACCGAAGCGGAGGCCAAACUGGGCCAUGCCCAGGGCGCCCGCCCUGGAAGCCUGGGCGCCCGCCCCCCUGCUGGAGCCAAUUCAGGACUCCUUCGCUCGGGAUAUUCCACCGACCUAUUGGAUCAAGAAAAACAUAGUACCACCUCGGCUAUCGACCCAAAAACGCAUAGAAGGGGAGGACUAUAUAAGCAAGGCCCCUGGCCCUUGGAGAAGACAUGAAGAAAUUAUCAUAGAGACUGAGGGGUGCCCUCGAAGGAAAACCUCUUCUCUAAUUAAUAUUUCUUUUUAGGCUUAGCAUUCAAUGUAAGGUAGAAAUAGAUCUUCUAGUUUCUACUACAUUGAGAGAGAUAGAGUGGAGGUGUAGAGUGGAGGAAGCCCGGCCUGUCGGUGUCUACUCCAAGCUUGUACCUGCGGGAUCAAGUUCUCCUAACCCGAAGCUUGCUCCUAGGAUUCUUCAGUAAUUCGACUUCUAAAUUCUAGUAAGUUCUUUUUUUAUUGUUCUUAUGGUUUAUGAGUUUACUUUAAUCUCUUCGCGUAGAGUUUAGAGUAAUCAUUGCUGGCGUAAACGUGGUGUUUAGGCUGGGGUACUCAUAGAUAUUCCCUAACUAGCUGGACCGUGGUAGUAGUGAGGAACGUGACAUUUCCGAGCUACCUUUGUAGAUCACAUCUCGUUAGCAGGAAGGAUAGGGUUUAUAGGUGCGGGUUGAACAUCCUUUGUGGUGUCUAGAUUCCGUUAGCCUCCCCAUUAGAACAGUAGAUCAUCCUUACCAAGGUUAGAAGGAGACUACGGUUGCAGUCUUCUCUAUUUAUCACUCACAUCGAAAGACAUUCUUUGUGCCUAAAGGUUAGUAGUAAUAGACCGGUUAGUCAGAUGCACUCUUUCUCCUAGUGGUAAAAAAAUAAAUACGAUACUCUGGAUAACCUCCCGGGUGAAGUGCUCACCGAUAUCCGUGCGCUUGCGGAUCAAUUCCUUAUUGCGUUCCCAAAUAUCAACAAGCAUUUCUGGCGCCGUUGCCGGGGAGAAAGACGGUUGCUGAGAUAACCUGUGUCUUGCUAUUAGCUUGUAUCUAUACUUUUAUCUUUUCUUAUCUUUUAUAUUCUUUAUUUAUUUUUCUUUACUCUUACCUUAUGGAAAACCAAAAUUCUAAAUCGAUCCAUGAGUCUGCAAUCCCUUUAGCAACUGACCUUUUACCAUGGGAAUCAUCACAGCCUAUCCAAACACCCCAGUAUAAGUUAAGUUCUAGGUUGAUUGCCAUGAUUCAAAACAUAUCUUUUUCGGGAAAGGAAGACGAAAACCCUUACCUUCAUAUUAGAGAUUUUGAGCAAACAUGUGAUUGUCUUCACAUUGAAGGCAUUUCUGAUAAAACUUUAUGUUGGAAGCUUUUUCCUUUUUCUCUAAGGGGAGAAGCUAGACAAUGGUACAGUCAGAAGGUAAGUCAACAACAAGGUGAAUGGGGAGUUUUACGAGCCAACUUUUGUCUAGAUUUCUAUUCCCUUGACCGUAUAGCUGACCUUAGACUCGAAGUCCUAUCUUUUAAACAAAAAGAUAAUGAAACUUUGGGAAAAUCCUGGAAACGUUUUUCUGAUCUUUUAGAAUCUGGUCCAAACCUUAAUCUUGAAGACCCUGUUCUUUUAUUUCACUUUUUUCGAGGUCUUCAGAAAAAUCACAAACAAAUGCUGCACACAAUGUCUAGAGGUUCUUUCUUUCGCAUCCCUGCUGAUGAAGCAAGAGUGAUCCUAGAUAGAAUCCUAGAAGCUGAGAUGGAUAAUACCCUUCAUGAUGAAACCUACGAAGCCGAAGUAGACACUCUGCCAAAUUCUUCAUCUACUUUAGCUAUCCCAAGUUCUGAGCCACAAGAGGAAGAAAUUCCACUACCGGACUUCAUGCUGGAUAUAGAAUCCGAUCUUUUUGCCAAUUUUGGAAAUAUUUCAAACUACCAUUCUAUUGACAAACCCCAAAAUGGCCAGUUUAGCAUUUAUUUACCAAGUGAAUAUCAAUUGAGAGAGCUUAUCUCAGUAAUGAGUAGCGAAUGGUUGGAGGAAUCAGAGCUUUCCUCUGAUGUGAUCCGUUUGGACACACCCUCUAUAACUAUACGCUGUGCUUAUAAUUCUGAUCGAUUUAAUGCUCUCUAUAAUCCUGUUGUGGGGAUCAACAUUAUGUCUGAAUCCUUUGCACUUAAACUAUUUAAAAAUCUUAUCUUAACCCCCACAACAAAGGUCAUAAAGGAAUCUUCGGGACGAUUAGUCCCCAGUCUUGGAAUUAUUAAUGUCCUACCUCUUACAGUAGAAGGCUCCAUGGUUCAUUUGAACUUCUAUAUCUUUGAUACAUGGGACUUCGACCUGUUAAUAGGACAACCUUUUAAAAGACUCCUUUAUGAAGGUCAUACUGGAAGGCUACACAUUUCUUUUGGAAAAACUUUUCAAUUCCCAAUAAUAAUUUCACACUCCUUAAAUAAUAAGGCCGAGUCAUAUCUUUUGCCUGAUCCUAUGGAGGAGGUAAAGGCUGCAUCUCUAGAGCUUUUAGAUGAACCAGACUUAGAAGACGAAACUCCUUUCUUCACAGAAGAAGAAGACGAACCUUCUGAGCCUGAACCCUUAGAUGAGUUUGCAGAAACACCUAGACCCCCAUAGAACUUAAAACUUUACCACCCAGUCUUACCUAUGCUUUCCUAAACAAUAAUCCAGAGUUCCCUGUGAUCAUUAGCGAUAAACUCACUCAGGAUCAAACUCUGCAAUUAAUGACCAUUCUUGAGAAACAUCACUCAGUUUUCGGCUACUCACUUCAAGAUCUUACAGGAAUCAGUCCUACGAUUUGUACCCAUCGUAUUCCAACAGAUCCUUCUAUUACACCCACUCGAGAACCCCAACGUAGACUUAACAAUACUAUGAGAGAGGUAGUUAAAAAGAAAGUUAUAAAGUUGCUGCAUGCAGGGAUUAUAUAUCCUGUGCCGCACAGUGAGUGGGUAAGCCCAGUACAAGUUGUGCCUAAAAAGGGAGGCAUGACAGUUAUUAUGAAUGAAAAGAAUGAGCUAAUUCCGCAACGCACCGUCACAGGAUGGCGGAUGUGCAUAGACUAUAGAAAAUUAAACAAAGCCACGAGAAAGGAUCACUUUCCUUUACCUUUCAUAGAUGAGAUGCUAGAGCGGUUAGCAAACCAUUCAUUCUUUUGUUUCUUAGAUGGAUACUCAGGGUAUCACCAAAUCCCGAUCCAUCCCGAUGAUCAAAGCAAAACCACUUUUACAUGCCCAUAUGGAACUUAUGCUUACCGUAGAAUGUCUUUUGGGUUAUGUAAUGCACCAGCUUCUUUUCAAAGACGCAUGAUGUCUAUAUUUUCUGAUAUGAUUGAAGAGAUUAUGGAAGUUUUCAUGGAUGAUUUCUCUGUUUAUGGAAAAACUUUUGAUAGUUGUCUUGAAAACUUAGACAAGGUUUUGCAAAGAUGUGAAGAAAAGCACUUAAUCCUUAAUUGGGAAAAUUGUCAUUUUAUGGUUAGGGAAGGAAUAGUGCUAGGACACUUAGUGUCUAAAAGAGGUAUUGAGGUAGACAAAGCUAAAAUUGAAGUAAUUGAACAACUACCUCCACCUGUGAACAUAAAAGGAAUUCGAAGCUUUCUUGGCCAUGCUGGUUUUUAUCGUAGAUUCAUAAAAGAUUUUCAUUUAUUGCUAGACCACUUACUCUUUUGCUAGCCAAGGAUGCUCCUUUCGAAUUUGAUGAUGCAUGUCUAACAUCUUUCAAUUUAUUAAAGAAAGCACUCAUCUCUGCACCAAUCAUUCAACCCCCUGAUUGGUCGUUGCCUUUUGAAAUUAUGUGUGAUGCUAGUGAUUAUGCUGUGGGGGCAGUAUUAGGACAAACUAAAAAUAAGAAGCAUCAUGCAAUUGCUUAUGCCAGUAAAACUUUGACAGGAGCUCAACUUAAUUAUGCAACCACUGAAAAAGAGCUUCUGGCUGUUGUCUUUGCCAUUGAUAAAUUUAGAUCUUAUUUAGUUGGAGCUAAAAUAAUUGUUUACACUGAUCAUGCUGCAUUAAAAUAUUUUCUCACUAAAAAAGAUGCUAAACCUUGCCUGAUUAGAUGGAUCUUAUUACUCCAAGAUGCUAAACCCUACCUCGGCGUCACCUCCUUGGCCACUGUCGAGCACGGGUAAGGCGGCAUUGCCGAGCUCCAAGCAGUUCUCCCUCGCCGGAGUUCCGCGCAAGCUCACCGGCAACGUGGCCAGGCUUCUCUGCUCCACCAUUUUCCUUCAUUCUUGUUCCUAUCGCUUCCCCUUGGUUCACUGAUGCUCGGCGUGAAGCUCUACCGCGUCGCCAUUGCCUGGAUCCGCCGGCGUAACGCCGCGCAGCGCCGCCGCUCCGCCAUUCCCGACGGCGAGCCACAUAGGGUCCAGUAGAGCGCGGGUAAAGUAGGUCAACAGAGUCGCCUUGAUGAGAGGAACACGUAGAUGCCCUUGGAUCCGGCGGAAACCUCGUCGUCGUUGAGCUUUGCCAGCGGCGAUCUUCUCCCCUGUCACUGUCUCACUGACGCGCGGGUCCCGGGUGUCAGCCUCUCUCUCACACCCCUCUGGUUCACUAUUUUUGCAGAGCCAAUGCUGUUUUUGUAAAAUUCAUAUCUCGAGUUUUAGAGAUCCAAACGAAGUGAUUCCAAUUUUGCUAGGUUCCAGCUUGAGUCUAGUUUUUAAUAAAAAUAUGAAACAUGCCAUGUUUUUGCAGAAAUAAAUAGAUAUAAAUUAAUCUUGGAUUUUUAGUGGGUAAUUAUAUCUUGAAAUCUAUUGAUCUGCUGGCCAUGCAAAUUUAGGGUGUUGUUACUUAUGUUAUGAAUAGGCUCGGAUAAAUUUAUCAUGAUUUUUGGAAGCCUGGGUAAGAAGUUAAAAAUAAUUCUUGCUUAAAUAGGAGUUUCUUGUGAUAUUUUUAAUAAAUAAGUUAUAGCUCCUUUUGUGGUGAAACUUGCUGAGUGUUGUACUUAUGUGUAGACAAAGCUAGGAAAAAUCUGAAAUCGGUUGUUUGACACAUUUUGAUGAGGUUUCACAUUUAUGCCUUGCAUGCCUAUACUAACUUGUUAUUUUUAUACCUCACAAUAUGUAUGUGCAAGUGUUCUGAAAAUUUUACAGUAAUCUUAUGUUAGCAUAAGUAGCUUGCUGUAAUUUUCCUAGGAUUUUUGGAACAAUUGGAAUGCAUGUUCAUUAAAUCACCUUAAUAAUUAAAUAAAUGGAAAAGGUGAUGAUAGAAAUGAGUUUAGACCUUGCCAUGAUGUUUUCUGGUGUUUCUUAGAUAUGUUCUACCUACUGGUGCAAUUGGAUUGUCUCUUUGAUACAUUCUCAAUAUGUGCAAAAUAUUAUUUUUGCUAUUUAUGCCAUUCCUAGAGUAUUUCUGUACAGCUGAUAACAAAUACUUAAGAACUAUUUGAAGAUGAUGUUUUCUGGGACACUUGUCUACAAUAAACUUGUAGCUAACUUAAUGAUCUACUUCGUGUCCAAAUUUCAUGACAUUUGGUGGAGUAGUUUGAAAGUUAUGCAUGUUGCAAGUAGCUGCUGCAAAGUGCUUGAUCUCUGGAUUUUCCAGAGCAGCCAGCCAACUUUGUAGGUUUUAGCAUAUUUCGGUUGGGAAUCUGACUAGGAUGUCCAAAAGUGAAUUGUAGACAAUUUGUUAAGCUUUCCAGAAAGUAUUUACUUACUUGGUUUGGCCAGCUGAUGUUUAAGUUAUAGCUGAAACUUGUGACAGGUUGGUCUGUUUACUAAACCAGUGAUAGAGUAGGAGUAGCUAGGAUUUGUUUAACUUGUCUAGUUAGUCUCUUUACGAGAGAAGAAGUAUGCAUUUACUUGUUAUUCUAUGAUUCACUUACUCUUAGAAGUUUACUCUGAUGUUAUACUUUGUUUUAUGUCCCUUUGGCUCUUCAUCAUGAUAUCAUACAUCAUAUGUGCAUUCUCUAUAUUCAUCUCCUUGUCAUGCAUUCAUAGGUGUACCCAAGGGCUUGACAGUGUUGGAGUUCGAGCUGCCGGAGUCGGAAGGACAGCAAGGGGAGCUACCUCAUGGAGCUGAGGAGGAGGAGGACUUGCCGGAGUGCCCUGACCACCGUCCCUCUACUUACGUCGAAGGCAAGCAACGGAGCAUUAUAAGCCUCCUACUAUUUUAUUAUUUGUGUUCAGCUAUCAAUUGACUAUGGUUAUAUAUUUGUUGCAUUAAGUGGUAGGCAUUGAUAUGACACCCUUGCUGCAUAAUGGCUACCUUGUCCACCUCAUACCUCACCAAAGUAGGUCCAGGAUCGAAGUAAUGCUUAGCCAUGCUUAGCUCGGUAGAAGCCGGGUGAUUUCCUGUCACCUGCGAGAGUUAGGUGGAUGAUGAUCACGGUUGGCUAUAUUUGCUAUCAUGGAAAUAACCAUGUAUUAAUAAUGAACUUGAGACUGGGUGGGAUGAUGUUAGUGCAGCAACAAGGCAUGGAGGUCUUGGGUGUGAAUCUAUCCCCGUCUGUGUCGUUUAAGGACCGAAUCGCUGUACGUCCCCGUGUCAUGUUGAACGCAUGCCUAUCACUUAGUUGGCCGGAUAAGUCGUUCCGACCGUGAAGCCUACGAGUGCAACUCAGGCCGGAUACCCCGUUCUGUAUGAGUGCGCACCCCAGUUGGUAGUAAGGAUGUGCGGGGAGUCAAUGGCGUAAGCCCAGGUGUCAGGUUAGAGUCCUGCCCUGGCAGAUUGGCGGUCGCUGGGGGUGCGGCGCUGGACGGACCCGCGACUUGGUCUGAAGUUGUGCUAAAGGUGAUCCGAGCUGCCGUCAUGAAGUAUGCUUGGGUGAGUGUUAGUAAUACCCCUCCAGCUGGAUAGGAAUCGAUUCGAAUCGCCGUCUCUCCCGGAUAGUGAGAACUUGACUUGGGCAGCGGCAACGGAGAAUUCACUAAAUAAACUUAAUGGUUAUGAUGAGAAUGAUGAUAGCUAUGUGAAAAUCUGGAUAUGGUUAUUAUUGUAAUGCUUAAAUACACAAGUGUAUGCUUAGAACAGGUGCCAAUCUAGUGGAUAGUUGCUAAGUAAUGAACUUGCUGCCGAAAUAUGAUAAAUGAGUUACUUACAACAAAGGCUUUUUAUGCAAAAGGUGAGUCAAACCAGUCCACAAAGAUCAGCCUUGCAUACUCCUUGGUGUCACUUUAUUUUGAUUUAUGGUCUAGCUGAGUACAUUCUCGUACUCAGGGUUUUAUUUACCCCUGUUGCAGAUGAUGUCGUUUACCACGGCUACUGUGCUAAAUGUCAUCACCCGGCUGCGGAUGAUGAAUAGAUCAUGGGCGUGAUCACCUCCUUUAUCUUCAGUUGUGCUUUUGUUGGGACUUGACCAUGGAACUGGCAUGUAUUAUAAACUGAGUUGGUGUUGUUUCAAAACUACUUUGUUUCCGCUACUGCUAUGGUUUGUAAUAACCACUUUAAACUCUGAUGUGUUGUAAAACUAUGUUCUGUGAUGAAUGUUGUAAUCUGUGAUGGUGAUGCUUGAUCAUGUACGAUCUUGGUUGUAUGUUGGUUGAAUCGAGGUCUUUUGAGAUUUCGUCGGACUACCGGGUUUAUAUGGGUUCAAGUCCAUUGGCUUGACUGCCUCCGUGGUCGCUAAUUCACUUGAAUUCUUAUAAAUUGGACGGUUCUGUUACAGCUGGCAUCAGAGCAAGAUUAAGCAUUUAACCAUCAUAGAUAUAUUUAAAAACAAAUGAAUUUGGUUUUCCCAAGCUAAUUUGGCAAAUUGAGCUAUGUAUAGGGCUGUUUUAAAAAUGUUUUGAUAACUUAUACCGUGCCAGUGGUCAUACCCUUUAUGCCCAUAUAAGGACUUUUAGGUGGCUUAAUAUUACUAACAUGGGGGUUUUUCCUUUCGUCGUCCAUAUGGCAUGUAAUUAUAUGGAUAACGCUUACUUAAGUGGUAAUGAAUGGAUCACAUACCUCUACGCCAUGGUAAGCUUGUUUGUUUUCUUUCGUCGUCCAUACGGCGUGAAAUUGUAUGGAUGCCACUUGCUUGAGUGGUAAUGUAUGGAUCUAUAUGCCUCUAAGCUACGGUAAGUGUGAGCUGUGAGAGCAUGACUGCCAAACCGUCGGUCUAGGGGAGUGUUAGCUGUGGUUACUGAAAUAUUUACAUGUUUUACACAUGUAUAUAUGAAGGUACUUAAUUGUGGGUAGUAGAUGCAGCCAUGUAUACAUAUUUGAUGUACAUGUGGGUGUAUCCAAAAUGGGUAGUGUGCUGCGAUAUAUGUUUGGGAAUAUAUGUCAGAGUACCUAGCCUGAUUGUUCAUGAUUGGAUUUACUUUUCUGCACAUAUACUAUUGUGGGCUGGGCUAAAAUGAAAUCUUCUGCAGGUACACUAACAACGAAACGUGUAGACCGUGUAGUUGCGUAUAAAGAGUGUACGUAUGUAUGCCACCGACUAUACCAUUAGAAUUUCUUUUAGGAGUGGAAAGGACCUAUGGAACGUGCAUACAGCAUGAAUCAUUCAUACAUUCCUUAUGCACUACUUGGGUAUUAAAUUCUGAAAAUAUAUUUAUUUAUCUCUCCUUGUAAUUAAUCUCCCUUACUCAAAUGUGGUGUUUCUACAGAUGGCAGCACCGCACGCAAGUGAGACUUUCCUGGAAAUGUUUGGCACUCCUACUUUGUUGUGGAGGGUGCUAAGUUCAGUUUGAUAUGAGGAACCACCUAAGUACACUUGGACCGAUUCUGAGCAUGCAGGAGAAUUACCUUGGGUAGAUGUCCAAAUUACAGUUCCCCCUUGUCUAAAUAACCCACAGUGGCUAGGUUGGAUAGUUGAGUGUGAUGGCCAAACUCCUUGGGAGGGUGCCCAAGUAGCAGCCCUAGAGGUUUUGCUAGAGAUAUGCCAAGAUUAUGGCGAUGAGCUAGUGAAUGGCCCAGCUGGAUCCAUCCCUAGAGUGAGUGUGACUGACACAUUUGUGUCUCAGAUAGGAAAUAAGCCUUUAGAGAUGAGAGAAAGCCUACUAGGAUAUAGCUCUAGCCCUGCCAUGAGUGACAUGCUUGCGGUACUUAAGCUGCACUAUGUACGUUAGGACACCUACAUAGACGCCAUGCUAGCGCUCCAACAAGCUCAAGUGGGGCAGUGCAAACUGCGCAAGCGCGUGCGCAAGCACCGCAAGGCUUUUAGGGAUGCACAAGCUGAAAUUCAAAACUAUCGCACCGCUUUGCAAGUCCGCCGCAACCAAGUUGAAAACGCAGUUAGAGAGCGCAAUGAGGCACAAGCCCGCAUGAUGCAAAUGACUAGAGAGAGAGAUGAGGCUAUGCGCUUGGCUGAAAAUAUAGAAGCUGCUAGAGUUAGAGCCUUGUUCUAUGCUGAAAUGAGAGAGGAAGAGCUGAUUACUAGGAUUGCUGAGCUGCAGUUAGAUGUCCAUCGCUUAAAUAAUAUCAUAAAUCCUAUUCCACAUCCAUCCCCUUUUAAUCAUGAAGAAGCUCCGAGUGAGGAAGAUCAGGAUGAUGGCAUCAUUUCUAAUGGAGAAUCUGAGGAAGAUAUGUAGCCUAGCAAUAAUUCUAUGAUCAUGUAUCAGUUUCCAUCUCUUGUGUAAUGGGCAUGUAAUCUGAAUUUUAGUUGAGACUCUAUGUAUUUGUCCAUGGUGCCCCUCCUGUAAAACUUAAGCUAUGGCAAUGACUCUAUGUAACCCUAUACACCUAUUUGUGACGCUCCAUGUUUAUGUGGAGCUUAAAUAAUUUCCUGCGAUGUCUUUAAUCCCUGAGAAUUGUGGCUGUGAAUGAUCGCGAGAUUAACCAAGUGUCAUGGAUGAUAAUCUCUUGUUGUACAUGGAUUAUUGUGCCUUAAAUUAUGUGAAUUUACUUUAUUAAAUUCCGUAUGGCAGAAAUUGAGGUUCAUGGCAAUCAUAUCUGCUAUCCUAAACGGUCACUUGGUAUGCCUUGUGCAGAUGGCUCGCAAUACUCGCUGCGGUCACAACGAGGUGCCACCGCCACCACCUCCUCCCCUGCCUACACCUACUGAGCUAUUGGCAGCUCUUGUUGAGGGCCAGCGAAUGCUCAAUGAGGCUAUGCAAACUAUGGCACAGCAGAACCGGGGUGGUCGCCAUGCCCGCCAAGGCAGAGAGGCAAAUCAGUACAGCAGUUUCAAGGAUUUCCAGGACACCAAGCCGCCGCUUUUCAAGGAGGCUAUCGAACCUCUAGAAGCUGAUGAAUGGCUCAACACUCUCGAGCAGAAAUUCCGCUUGCUGAGGGUGACCGAAGAGUUAAAGGCGGAAUAUGCAACCCACCAGUUGGAGGGCAAAGCAGGUGUCUGGUGGAGUCAUUACAGGACCAGCUUGCCUGCCAAUGCUGUUGUAACCUGGGAUCAGUUCACAACUGCUUUCAGGAAUACUUACAUUCCCCAAGGGUUAAUGACUAUCAAGCACACCGAGUUCAUGAACCUGACGCAAGGCACUAAGAGCUUGACUGAGUAUCUUCAUGCUUUUAAUAAUUUGUCUCGCUAUGCUCCUGAGAUGGUUGACACCGAAGCCAAGAAGCUCGCUAGUUUCAAGAGGGGGUUGGGACCCAAGUUGUCCAAGAACAUGGCUGGUAACAAGAGUACCACCUUUAAUGAGUUUGUAAGUGAUGCGUUGACUCAAGAGAACUCCAAUGCCGUGUAUGCCGCGUCCAAGAACCGCAAGAGGGCCUAUGAGGCAGGUGCUUCACAGUCCAGAGCUCCAGUGGCAAGAAAACCGGCCUAUCACCCACCCAAUGCUGUGACAAGGUACAGGCCGCCGCAGAAAAAGUCUAAUGUGAAGACGGGAGUGCACAAGUCCUUCACAGUUGCUCUCCCAAGAGGUGCCACAGGUCAAGGAAGUCCCAAGACUCCCCCGGAUAACCGCCCUUAUUUCAAUUGCAAACAAGUUGGUCACUCGGUGAGAGAUUGCCCUUACCCUAGGAGGACUUCUGCAGCUGGGGUUACUACUCGUCCCGACCGAGUGCACUAUACCACCAUUGAAGAAAUUCCUGAGGGUGAAGUGGUCACGGCUGGUAUGUUCCUCGUAAAUCAACACCCUGUAGUUGUCUUGUUUGAUUCUGGAGCUUCGCAUUCAUUUAUGAGUCAAGCAUUCGCAUCUAAGCAUAGACAACAUGUCAUUGACUUCGAUAGUGGAAAAUUUUGCAUUAGUGCUGCGGGUAAUCAAAUUGUUGCGAAUCAAGUAGUGAGGGAUGUACAUAUUGCCAUAGAAGGGCGUAAUUAUUCAGCAAAUCUUGUGAUUUUACCGGGCCUGGGGAUAGAUGUUAUCCUAGGAAUGAAAUGGAUGAGUGAUCAUGGCGUGCUAAUAGAUACUUCAACUAGGGUCAUCAUGUUGAGGGAGCCUGAUAGUAAAGAAGCUUUCUUAGUUCAACUCCCUAGAAGUACUGACAUCCGUCACGCAGCCAAUGCUAUUCGACCACUCACUAUAGCAUAGAUUCCGGUAGUGUGUGAGUUUCCGGAUGUUUUUCCAGAGGAUCUGCCCGGGUUGCCACCAGACAGAGACAUUGAAUUUAAAAUUGAUCUAAUUCCGGGUACUGCGCCUAUCUCUAGAAGGCCAUAUCGAAUGCCACCCAACGAAUUGGCAGAGUUGAAAAAGCAAUUGCAAGAACUUCUUGAGAAAGGUCUUAUUCGGCCUAGUUCUUCUCCAUGGGGUUGUCCGGCUCUCUUUGUCAAGAAGAAGGACAAGUCUCUACGUAUGUGUGUAGACUAUCGUCCACUCAAUGCCGUGAUGGUCAAAAACAAGUAUCCACUGCCUCGCAUUGAUAUCCUGUUUGAUCAAUUAGCCAAGGCCAAAGUAUUCUCCAAAAUUGAUCUGAGAUCUGGGUAUCAUCAAAUCAAGAUCCGACCCGAAGACAUUCCUAAAACGGCUUUCUCUACCAGGUAUGGGUUAUAUGAGUAUUUAGUCAUGUCCUUUGGUCUGACUAAUGCCCCUGCUCAUUUCAUGUACCUGAUGAAUUCGGUGUUCAUGCCUGAACUGGAUAAGUUUGUAGUGGUGUUCAUCGAUGAUAUAUUGGUGUAUUCUAAAAAUGCACAAGAACAUGAGAAGCACCUUCGGAUUGUACUCACUAGAUUGCGAGAACAUCAGCUCUAUGCCAAGUUCAGCAAGUGUGAGUUUUCGCUGAAGAAAGUGCCUUUCCUAGGCCAUAUUUUAUCCGAAGAGGGUAUUUCUGUUGACCCGUCAAAGGUGCAGGAGGUUCUAGACUGGAAGGCCCCGACUUCAGUGCACGAAGUCCGAAGUUUUCUCGGUCUAGCUGGAUAUUAUCGGCGCUUUAUUCCAGACUUUUCCAAAAUAGCUAAGCCUAUGACCAAGCUACUGCAAAAAGAUGUGAAGUUUGUGUGGUCCGAGGAGUGUGAAGUUGCUUUCACCACUUUACGCCAUUUGCUGACCACCGCUCCUGUUCUGGCACAGCCUGACAUUGAAAAGCCAUUUGAUGUCUUUUGUGAUGCAUCUGGCACUGGUCUAGGUUGUGUGCUUAUGCAAGAAGGCUGAGUUAUUGCCUAUGCUUCUCGGCAGCUGAGGAAACAUGAAGCCAACUACCCUACUCAUGAUCUAGAGUUAGCAGCAGUUGUAAAUGCAUUGAAACUCUGGAGACAUUAUCUGUUGGGUAAUCUUUGUCACAUUUACACUGAUCAUAAGAGCCUCAAAUAUAUCUUCACACAACCCGAGUUGAAUAUGAGACAAAGAAGAUGGCUAGAAUUGAUAAAAGACAACAAUUUAGAAGUGCACUAUCAUCUAGGCAAAGCCAAUGUUGUAGCCGAUGCUCUCAGUCGGAAACAACAUGUUAGAUCUCUCUUGGAGGAAGGCUUCAAUUUAUUGCAUCCUGUGGUCCUACACAACAUCGUAGUUAGCUGCUCGUUAGAAAGUCAAAUCAUAGAGCUCCAAAAAUCUGAUCCUGGUAUUUUUCAUAUCAAAAGAAAAAUGCAAGAGCAAGACACCAAGCAUUUCAGGGUAGAUGAGAAGGGUGUACUGUGGUUCGACGAUCGACUAGUUGUACCUAAAGACUGUGACCUACGUAACAAAAUCUUAGAAGAAGCUCAUUCUUCCAAGUUGUCCAUUCAUCCUGGUAGUAGCAAAAUGUACCAAGACUUGAGACCUCAUUUCUGGUGGACCAAAAUGAAGAAAGAGAUAGCAGCUUAUGUUGCUAGGUGUGAUACUUGCUGCAGGGUAAAGGCAGUUCACCUCAAACCCACAGGUUUAUUGCAACCUUUGUCGAUUCCGGGUUGGAAGUGGGAAGAAAUCAGCAUGGAUUUCAUUGUUGGACUUCCCCUUACUCAAAAAGGACACAAUUCCAUAUGGGUGAUUGUUGACCGUUUGACCAAGUCAGCUCAUUUUAUUCCCGUACACUCUACUUACCGACCAUCCGACUAUGCUGAGUUGUACUUAUCUCAGAUAGUUAAAUUGCACGGAGUGCCUCGCACUAUUAUUUCUGAUAGAGGUCCUCAGUUCACUGCUCGCUUUUGGGAGCAUCUGCAUUCACUCCUUGGUACAAAAUUGGUUCGCAGUUCAGCCUACCACCCUCAAACCUCCGGCCAGACUGAGCGCGUGAAUCAAAUCUUAGAGGAUAUGUUGAGGGCAUGUGUUAUAUCUUCCAAGGGUGCAUGGGAGAAAUGGUUACCCUUAGCUGAAUUCUCAUACAACAAUAGUUAUCAAGAGAGUAUCCAAAUGGCUCCUUUUGAAGCUUUGUAUGGCCGCAAAUGUAGAACUCCUUUAAACUGGGUUGAGCCAGGCGAAAGAAGGUACUACGGAAUUGACUUUGUCAAAGAAGCUGAAAAGCAAGUUCUCGUUAUCCAGCAACACAUGAGAGCUGCCCAAGCUAGGCAGAAAAGCUAUGCUGACCGAAGAAGAAAGCCAAUCGAGUUCGAAGUAGGUGACUUUGUCUACCUAAAAGUAUCACCCAUGAAAGGAGUAAAUCGCUUUGGUGUUAAAAGAAAGCUUGCCCCUAGGUAUGUAGGUCCCUACCAAAUCAUCGAGAAGAGUGGCAAGGUAGCUUACAAAGUACAACUACCUCCCGAAAUGAGAGCUAUUUUCCCCGUGUUCCACGUAUCUCAACUUAAGAAGUGUCUUCGUGUGCCCGAAGAGAGAGUUGAAACAAGAGAUAUCAAGUUGCAGUCCGAUCUAUCCUGCGAAGAAAAGCGUGUACAAGUUCUUGAUGUCGAGGAAAGGGUUACUGGUGGGAAAGUGAUCAAACUUUUUAGAGUUUUGUGGAACUGUCAAAAUGAGAGAGAUGCCACUUAGGAAAGGGAGGACUAUUUACAAGUAACUUAUCCCUCAUUCUAUGAAAAAUGGUACGUCUUUCAAAUCUCGGGACGAGAUUUUUGUAAGGGGGAGGGCUGUAACACUCCUAGUGUUAGCUUGCAUGUUAACCAUGAGCAUUUCAUCAACAUAAGCAUCAUCAUGAUCACUCAUGAGCAUCAUACCAUGAUCACAUGCCAUCUACUACAUGCACCAUGUGAUUGAAUUUGCUUGUGUGACUUGAAUUGAGUGACUAUAAGGGGUAGUCAAUGCAAACAAUUGUACAUUGUCUUCCAAAUUACUUUAAUCAUGUUUAGAACAUCAUUUUGAACCGAGUUCAUGUUGAAGGUUUUGUCCAAAAACACCCCUAAGUCAUGGUUAACCCUAGAAUGACCUUUUUGACCCCCUAGACCUCUUUUCAAAGAUGUUUUAUGAAAGUAAUGUUAGAGACCUUCCAUGUCUUUGACACCUGAAACAAAGUUGUAAAGAAUUUCAUAAGCUACAAAAGUUAUGUUGAUGACUUUUUAUGAAAAAUCUUAGUACACAUCCAAAAUUCACUCACAAGCCAAAAAUAAGGGCUGGUUUCACACUUAGCCAAAUUUGGCUAAGUGUUGAGUCACACAGUUUCGACAUAGGGUUGUUGGGAGCCUUGUAGUUUGAAAUCCAGACUGAGUUAGGCUUUGAUCUUGUAAUCAAACUUGUAGAACUCAUGUAGCUCUAUCCAGAGGAUCAAAUCCCAGCCAUAACCACCGAGUGAGCUGAGAGUUAAACGUCGACGAACUUCGGGAUUCAAUCACUGGCCACGGCGACUGAAUCGCCCGAUUCAGUUUGGACAUAAACCGUCCGCCGCCGCGUGUCUGGCCACCUGUCGACCGUACGUCAACAGCGGCCCCGCCUCUCAGCUCCCACGGCGUCUCCAAGUUGCCACGCACCGAGUGGACGCCUCAGACGCGCCCUCCACUCGCUCAGUGCCUCCCAUUUUCGCUCCGCCGUCGCCUCAGGGAGCUCCGCCGCGUUUCGGCAAGCUUCUUUGGCCGUUCUACCGCGUCUCCGGCCAAACCAACCUGCCCAGAGCUCCGCCUCGACGUCCCCUACCUCGGCGUCACCUCCUUGGCCACUGUCGAGCACGGGUAAGGCGGCAUUGCCGAGCUCCAAGCAGUUCUCCCUCGCCGGAGUUCCGCCCGAGCUCACCGGCAACGUGGCCAGGGUUCUCUGCUCCACCAUUUUCCUUCAUUCUUGUUCCUAUCACUUCCCCUUGGUUCACUGAUGCUUGGCGUGAAGCUCUACCGCGUCGCCAUUGCCUGGAUCCGCCGGCGUAACGCCGCGCAGCGCCGCCGCUCCGCCAUUCCCGACGGCGAGCACCAUAGGGUCCAGUAGAGCGCGGGUAAAGUAGGUCAACAGAGUCGCCUUGACGAGAGGAACACGUAGAUGCCCUUGGAUCCGGCGGAAACCUCGUCGUCGUUGAGCUUUGCCGGUGGCGAGCUUCUCCCCUGUCACUGUCUCACUGACGCGCGGGUCCUGGGUGUCAGCCUCUCUUUCACACCCCUCUGGUUCACUGUUUUUGCAGAGCCAAUGCUGUUUUUGUAAAAUUCAUAUCUCGAGUUUUAGAGAUCCAAACGAAGUGAUUCUAAUUUUGCUAGGUUCCAGCAUGAGUCUAGUUUUUAAUAAAAAUAUGAAACAUGCCAUGUUUUUGCAGAAAUAAAUAGAUAUAAAUUAAUCUUGGAUUUUUAGUGGGUAAUUAUAUCAUGAAAUCUAUUGAUCUGCUGGCCAUGCAAAUUUAGGGUGUUGUUACUUAUGUUAUGAAUAGGCUCUGAUAAAUUUAUCAUGAUUUUUGGAAGCCUGGGUAAGAAGUUAAAAAUAAUUCUUGCUUAAAUAGGAGUUUCUUGUGAUAUUUUUAAUAAAUAAGUUAUAGCUCCUUUUGUGGUGAAACUUGCUGAGUGUUGUACUUAUGUGUAGACAAAGCUAGGAAAAAUCUGAAAUCGGUUGUUUGACACAUUUUGAUGAGGUUUCACAUUUAUGCCUUGCAUGCCUAUACUAACUUGUUAUUUUUAUACCUCACAAUAUGUAUGUGCAAGUGUUCUGAAAAUUUUACAGUAAUCUUAUGUUAGCAUAAGUAGCUUGCUGUAAUUUUCCUAGGAUUUUUGGAACAAUUGGAAUGCAUGUUCAUUAAAUCACCUUAAUAAUUAAAUAAAUGGAAAAGGUGAUGAUAGAAAUGAGUUUAGACCUUGCCAUGAUGUUUUCUGGUGUUUCUUAGAUAUGUUCUGCCUACUGGUGCAAUUGGAUUGUCCCUUUGAUACAUUCUCAAUAUGUGCAAAAUAUUAUUUUUGCUAUUUAUGCCUUUCCUAGAGCAUUUCUGUAUAGCUGAUAAUAAAUGCUUAAGAACUAUUUGAAGAUGAUGUUUUCUGGGACACUUGUCUACAACAAACUUGUAGCUAACUUAAUGAUCUACUUCGUAUCCAAAUUUCAUGACAUUUGGUUGAGUAGUUUGAAAGUUAUGCAUGUUGCAGUUAGCUGCUGCAAAGUGCUUGCUCUCUGGAUUUUCCAGAGCAGCCAGCCAACUUUGUAGGUUUUAGCAUAUUUCGGUUGGGAAUCUGACUAGGAUGUCUAAACGUGAAUUGUAGACAAUUUGUUAAGCUUUCCAGAAAGUAUUUACUUACUUGGUUUGGCCAGCUGAUGUUUAAGUUAUAGCUUAAAAUUGUGACAGGUUGGUCUGUUUACUAAACCAGUGAUAGAGUAGGAGUAGCUAGGAUUUGUUUAACUUGUCUAGUUAGUCUCUCUACCAAAGAAGAAGUAUGCAUUUACUUGUUAUUCUAUGAUUCACUUACUCUUAGAAGUUUACGCUCAUGUUAUACUUUGUUUUAUGUCCCUUUGGCUCUUCAUCAUGACAUCAUGCAUCAUAUGUGCAUUCUCUAUAUUCAUCUCCUUGUCAUGCAUUCAUAGGUGUACCCAAGGGCGUGACAGUGUUGGAGUUCGAGCUGCCGGAGUCGGAAGGACAGCAAGUGGAGCUACCUCAAGGAGCUGAGGAGGAGGAGGACUUGCCGGAGUGCCCUGACCACCGUCCCUCUACUUACGUCGAAGGCAAGCCCCGGAGCAUUAUAAGCCUCCUACUAUUUUAUUAUUUGUGUUCAGCUAUCAAUUGACUAUGGUUAUAUAUUUGUUGCAUUAAGUGGUAGGCGUUGAUAUGACACUCUUGCUGCAUAAUGACUACCUUGUCCACCUGAUACCUCACCAAAGUAGGUCCAGGAUGGAAGUAAUGCUUAGCCAUGCUUAGCUCGGUAGAAGCCUGGUGAUUUCCUGUCACCUGCGACAGUUAGGUGGAUGAUGAUCACGGUUGGCUAUAUUUGCUAUCGUGGAAAUAACCAUGUAUUAAUAAUGAACUUGAGACUGGGCGGGAUGAUGUUAGUGCAGCAACAAGGCAUGGAGGUCAUGGGUGUGAAUCUAUCCACGUCUGUGUCGUUUAAGGACCGAAUCGUUGUACUUCCCCGUGUCACGUUGAACGCAUGCCUAUCACUUAGUUGGCCGGAUAAGUCGUUCCGACCGCGAAGCCUACGAGUGCAACUCAGGCCGGAUACCCUGUUCUAUAUGAGUGCGCACCCCGGUUGGUAGUAAGGAUGUGCGGGGAGUCAAUGGCGUAAGCCCAGGUGUCAGGUUAGAGUCCUGCCCUGGCAGAUUGGCGGUCCCUGGGGGUGCGGCGCUGGACGGACCCGCGACUUGGUCCGGAGUUGUGCUAAAGGUGAUCCGAGCUGCCGUCAUGAAGUAUGCUUGGGUGAGUGUUAGGAAUACCCCUCCAGCUGGAUAGGAAUUGAUUCGAAUCGCCGUCUCUCCCGGAUAGUGAGAACUUGACUUGGGCAGCGGCAACGUAGAAUUCACUAAAUAAACUUAAUGGUUAUGAUGAGAAUGAUGAUAGCUAUGUGAAAAUCUGGAUAUGGUUAUUAUUGUAAUGCUUAAAUACACAAGUGUAUGCUUAGAACAGGUGCUAAUCUAGUGGAUAGUAGCUAAGUAAUGAACUCGCUUCCGAAAUAUGAUAAAUGAGUUACUUACAACAAAGGCUUUUUAUGCAAAAGGUGAGUCAAACCAGUCCACAAAGAUCAGCCUUGCAUACUCCUUGGUGUCACUUUAUUUUGAUUUAUGAUGGGUAAGUCUAGCUGAGUACAUUCUCGUACUCAGGGUUUUAUUUACCCCUGUUGCAGAUGAUGUCGUUUACCACGGCUACUGUGCUAAAUGUCAUCACCCAGCUGCGGAUGAUGAAUAGAUCAUGGGCGUGAUCACCUCCUUUAUCUUCAGUUGUGCUUUUGUUGGGACUUGACCAUGGAACUGGCAUGUAUUAUAAACUCAGUUGGUGUUGUUUCAAAACUACUUUGUUUCCGCUACUGCUAUGGUUUGUAAUAACCACUUUAAACUCUAAUGUAUUGUAAAACUAUGUUCUGUGAUGAAUGUUGUAAUCUGUGAUGGUGAUGCUUGAUCAUGUACGAUCUUGGUUGUAUGUUGGUUGAAUCGAGGACUUUUGAGAUUUCGUCGGACUACCGGGUUUAUAUGGGUUCAAGUCCAUUGGCUUGACUGCCUCCGUGGUCGCUAAUUCACUUGAAUUCUUAUAAAUUGGACGGUUCUGUUACAAAAAGAAUUUGUUAUUCACUCUGAUCAUGAAGCUUUGAAAUACUUGAAAGGACAAGCAAAACUGAACCGUCGUCAGGCCAAAUGGGUUGAGUUCAUCGAAACAUUUUCAUACAUUGUGAAAUAUAAGAAAGUGAAUCGCACAUUGUCAAUGUUGCUACGAACAAUGGUGAAAUAGAACCUGAAGGUUUGGGAGGAAUGCCUGCCACAUGUGGAGUUUGCAUAUAACAGGGAAGUACACUCUAACACUAAUAUGUGUCCUUUUGAAAUUGUAUAUGGGUUCAAACCUAUUGCUUUGAUAGAUUUGUGGCCCCUUCCAUUGCAGGAAAGAACUAAUAUGGAAGCCUCCAAGUGUGCUGCAUACAUCAAGAAGGUACACGAGAAGACCAAGGAAGCAAUUGAACUCAAGGCAGGACGCAAGGCUGCAAGUAUGAACAAACAUAGGAAGAAGCUGUUAUUUGAACCCGGGGACUUGGUGUCGAUACACUUGCGCAAGGAUCGCUUUCCUCAGCAGCGCAAAUCAAAAUUGCUGCCACGAGGAUAUGGUCCAUUUUGUGUUCUUGAGAAGAUCAAUGACAAUGCAUACAAGAUUGAUCUUCCUGCAAGUUAUGGCGUGAGCAACUCCUUCAAUGUUGCUGAUCUCUCACCAUUCACAAGUGAAGACACUUUAGAGUCGAGGACGAUUCCUUUUCAAGGGGGGGGAGGAUGAUAUGACCAUGCCACCAAGCAAGAUGUCACAAGCUCCAAGUCAAGCUACACCUACUCAAGUUUCACCUACACCGACACCAGCCCAAGUCAUCGAUGGACCGAUUACACGUAGACGUGCAAAGAAGCUACAACAAGAGGUCCACGCGCUACUUUGUGAGAUUCAUUUUAAUAUUAAUGAGAAUUAUAUACUACCUAAGUGUUGUACCUUGAUUAUACUCAGGUAUAUAGAAGAAGAGAAGAAUGAAUCGGACCCUGAAGAACGGACCAGUGCAAGUUCCAGAAGAAGUCAAAAACGGACCAGUGGAAGUCAAAAACGGACUAGUGCAAGAAAUCUUCAUAACUUUUUACUCACAAAAGCUAUAAAGGUCCAUGAGUACUUGUUGGAAAGCAUGACGAGUCUACUUUCCAAUGAAUCUAGUGGAGACCAGUUUGAAUGCUCCAUAUUGCCUCUAGACCAGAAUUAGUACAAACUGCUCAGAAGGUCAACAGUCUGUCGUGACAGAAUGUUGGUACAACUUGCCAAGUAAAAUUGUACCAAUCUACAAUGUUUUGUGCUGGUUGGCAUACAUUGCUGGAAAGCCCUUUGAGUCUAGUUUCACACCCAAGAAACGGUUCAUCAUUUGGACUUACCAAUAAAAAGUUAUGGUCAGUGUAAUACCCGAUUUUAAGGACAAAACCAGAUAUGCACUAUAUGUGAGUAUUAAAAGCCAAAUCUCACAUAUAGCUACAAAUAAGGGUAAUAUCAAAAGACAAUGCAUAAAUAUAUAACGUACUUAGAAUAAAAGAGAUAACCUUCAAGCAAACAGCGGAUAGACAACUCCAAACUUCGGGUAUUAACUUCACUCUACAGGAUCCAACUGACUGGUUGAUCACAAGCCUAACACUUCUCCUGAGGUAUCGGGGAAAUAGCAAGAGUGAGUCCAUGUCGAACUCCACAAGUAUAGCAACUAGAUUAUAUUGCUCCCACAACCUCAUGAUUAAUGUGACAUAAAUAAUGUAAAGCAUUAAAUAAUAAACAAUGAGUAUAUUUAACACACAAGAAUCAUCAUCGUCGUAGCAAGAAUCCCCAAGGCCGCUCCUGAAAGUGAGCUCGGCCAGUAUACUAGUUUUUUUAACCCUUUGCAGAGGUUGCACAUCUUUACCCAUGAGUCAUGAUUUACCCUUUCGCCCGAGGUAGCUAAUCUCUUAACCCCCUUCCUAGGGAGGUCGGCAGGAAUCACUAUGAAGUCUUUCAAAGGUUCGUCUAACAAGUUAGGGCCGCUUGGUUUCAUUAGUCAGUCCGUGUGAUUCACCCGCAGGAAUCCACGGUCUGCUAUUCCCCAAUUGCGCCACAACGGGUAACCGCUAACGAGCUAGAAAAGUUACUCAUACUUAACUAAAGCCAGAGCCAUUAUAGCCCUCAUGGUUGCACUGUUGUCCUGGUUAUCACUUACAGAUAAAUCAUCAAGUGGCUAAAGAGUCAUUUUUAUCAUUUGUUGCUUAAACAUUAAUCAAGUCACAAGAUCAUGGUCACAGAAAUAAAAUCCAAAUGCUAUACUUGCCUUAAUCCAAUUGCUCUUGCUGAUCCUUUUAGUUCUGCUGGUCUUACUAGUUGUCCAAAGCUCUGAUCUUGAUCACCAAAAACUGCUCUCCGACUAAACUCGAUCAUUGAUCACACAAACAAUCGAAGACAACAUACACGAAGCAAACAAGGCUACAAUUAGAACAGUACACCAAUCAUAUGAAAACAGUAUGAAAAGUUUGUAAAAUGAUUCUACACAUCACUAAGAUUUCAUAGACGUAAAGAUCGCGAAAAUCAGAGUUGAAAUGGAGAAGAAUGAAUUUUCUAAGAUUUCGUAUAGAAAAUUAAUUAAUUAAUUAAAGUCAUGAAAUUAAAAAGUUUCAAACUGAGUAAACAAUUUUACUAACAUGUAGAACUCCUUAAAACGGAUCCAACGCAAUUUGAAUGGACCAAAACAGAAUUAAAAUGAGCAUGUUAUGAGCAAAACAGUUUUAGUGGCAAACUUGUAAAUAUCGAAAACGUACUUUGAACUCAACCCGGCCGAAAUACGCUUUCCAGACGAGCUUGCGUAUUCUCCGUAGUACGUUAGGGACGGCGGGUUCUAUACUUAAAAAUGUCAGGGUCUCUUUAGCAAAAACUCAGGCCGAAAGGGUAUCGGCCACCCUAGGCCGUUAGAUCAGCAAGGGACGACUCAGAUUAGAUGCUGGGGAGAGGGGAAGCAGCUGCCGGCCGGAACAGUGUCUCCGGCGGCGGUGCCAUUGCCGGAACCUCACCGGUGUUGACGGAAAACACCCUAUGGUUCACCAAACUCGGAUCCAAAAGUAUGGGGAGAAAGAGGGAACCAACGCGGGACGUUUCGAGAUCGUAAAUUGACCGGAUAUGCCGUGCACCACGGUUCGGCGGACGGGUGGGGCUCUGCAACGUUCGGCGACAGUUAGACAAGAGUAGAGGCCGGUAGAGCAUAUGGGAAAGGGCUCGGCACCUUCGUAUUCUCGUCGCGAAGCUCGGCAUCACGACUUAGGCGGCUUUGGGGCAGCACCGAGGAAGAACGAUGGCGGCGGCAAUCUCUGGCUUGCGGCAAAUCGCAGAGCAGAGAUAGGGUAAAUCGGCGCCUAAAGGAUGGGGAAAAGAGUGCGGGGAAGAUCCUCGGGCUGAAAAAGGGCUCGAUUCAACAAAAUUUGGUAAGAAAUCUCGGAAAGAUCGGGUUGGGGCGUUGAUUUCGCCUCGACCCGAGUCCGGCUCACCCACGCUCAAGGAAGAAGAAUAGGGAAAGGGGAAGGUGAGCCACUGACGGGUGGGGUCGAAAUGUCAGCGAGGGAGAGGAAGGACUGACGUGCAGGCAGGCUCCUGCUGGGCUGACGCGCGCGGCCAGUUGGCCAAGGGGAAAGGGGAGGAGGAUUGGGCCGAGACAAGGGGAGGAAAGGAAGGGGAAAGGGGUGCGCUGGGCCGGCCUUGACUUAGAUCGGGCCGAGAUUUAGGAGGGAGGUGAGGUUUUCUUCUUUUCUUUUCUUUUUAUUUUUAAGUCCUUUUUAAAACAGUUUAGAAAUCAAUUUAAAAAUAUUUUGACUUUUCUCAAAUUCACACAAUACAAUGAAAAUAAAUGCUCCAAAUAUGAAUGCACAACAAGUUGCUAAGUCCUAUAAUAAAUUUUAUUUAAAUGAAAAUACUAUUUUUCUAUGUUUCAUGAGCACAAAAAUACAAAAUUAAGUCAUUUUCAACUAUUUCAAAAAGGAGUAAAUUUUAGGGUGUCACAGUCAGUUUAUUGGAAACUACUCUAGAGGCCAACAGUCACGUGAAGCCACUUCGAAAAUCCAUUUCGAGGGGACCUUUCACAUUGUCUUCCCUCAGAAACUCUAUUUCGUUUUCAUACCUAUCUAGCAGGGCUGUUGCUAGUAUAAAUACCCCCUAAGACUCAUUGUAAUCUCAGACUUUUGAUGAUUGAAAUACAAAACCCCUUUUGUUUAGCUGUGUGCUAACAAAUAUUCAGAGAGUGAUCUCUACCCCUUUGCUCUAGUGAUUUCCUCGCGAGAUUACAUAGGUGGCGGCUUCAUCUGCUCCCAAAUGGUGCUCCUACUCCCUGCAAGGUAUUCCUUGAUUGAUUGUAGGAUGUGUUGGUUGGUUCUUUGAGAGUGUGGUUGGGCGAAUCCUCGAUUCAGGUUGCCGGUUAAAGAUGGUGGUUGGCUCCGAGUUUUAUUUGCCAGGUUGCACUAGUUAUCGCUGCUUGCAGCAAGUUAUCCGGUUGUUCUUCAGCUAGUUAUUAGUGUUCUUCCUACAUCGUGAUGAUCAAGACAACGUGUCGCAUCAAUCUGUCUCCCACCUAUGAGCUCUAGAUAUCAAAACCUUAUUAGAGUUGGGUGAGAGAGAAGGCAAUAUCACUAUGCCUCAUACCGAAAAUACCACAUACGUACUUUGAGAGAAGGCAUAUACCAUUACUGCCUUGGAAAGGAUCUAGAAAUACCACAAAAGAGAUAUUUGAGAGAGUCAUACAAGGAAUCUCUGAGUUUUAUUUGAAAAUCUGCAAAAACUCCUGAGCUAUAGUUAAUCAAAGAACAAGAGACAUGGUUCUUGACUAGGCCGUUCUAUCUUUUAACUGCUCAAGACACAAGUGACGGUUACAAGCCCCAUGGUGAAAGGUAAAAUGAGUAAGUUUUAAGUCUUAACAGUUUACUCUAACUCAGAGAUGAGAUCUUGCUUGAACGCAUGUGUACUUUGAAGGCAUGAAACUACUUCAGAAACUCUUGAGUCCAUCCUUGCUCAGGGACGAGCAAGAGGUAAGCUUGGGGGUGUUUGUUGACGGUCCUUAAGUACCAAAUAUAAUCAUCAAAUAAAUAAAAAAAGAAUCCAAAUGCAACCAACACUCAGACUUAGGGUUUUAUCUGACAGAAUUCCACGAGUUUUGGUGUUUGUCUAUUUCUGCAGGGGGUUAUCAGGAAAUACGAAGGAAAGGCCCACACGUCGGGUUUACAUACAGAUAUUAACGUGCCGCACAAUUUUCUCUCAUCUAGAAGACUCCAGAAGCCACGGAAACGAACGGGAGGUCGAACGGGCCCGUGGGCAGGGCGCCCAACCUGGUACAAGCACCAAUCACAGAAUGGAGUACACCAUCCCAAAGAUCUCGUCGAGCUGAUCGAAAUGCAUAUAUUAUUUGCUAUAUUUGGAGUUCGGAAUCAAGAGAUAUUAAUAAAAGAAGGACUCCACAUAAAAGAGUUGCGGGAUUAAUUGGGCCCAAAUCAGAUUUUGGUCCAUUAAGGCCUAUGUGCAUUUUAAUGAGAUAUGGUGGAAAGUUUAGUACCACAUCGUCUGCUGAACCAAAAAGGCACAAAGGAGGAGGACUAUAUAAGCAAUGACCGUGGCCCCUGGAGGAGAACAUAUCAAUAUAGAGUUGAGAGGUGCCCUCAAAGGAUAACCUUUCCUCUAUAGAGAAUUAGGGCUGAGCAUCCAAUAUGAGAGUAGAACUAGUUCUACUAGAUUGAGAGAGAUAGAGUGGAGGUGUAGAUCGGAGGAAGCCCGACCUGUCGGUGUCUACUCCGAGGUUGUACCUGCGGGAUCAAGUCUCCUAACCCGAGGCUUGCUCCUAGGAUUCUUGAGUAUUUCGACUUCUAAAUUCUAGUAAGUUCUUUGUUUUAUUGUUUUUUGGUUUAUGAGUUUACUUUAAUAUCUUCCGGUUGAGUUUAGAGUAAACAUUGCUAGCGUAAACGUGGUGUUUGGGCUAGGGUACUCAUAGGUAUCUCCUGUCUAUCUGGACCGUGGUAGUAGUGAGGAACGUGACAUUUCCGAGCUACCUUUGUAGCCCACAUCCAGUUAGCAGGAUCGAUAGGGUUUAUAGGAGUGGGUCGAACAUCCUUUGUGGUGUCUAGAUUCCGUGAGCCUCCCCAAUAGAACAGUAAAUCAUCCUUACCAAGGUUAGAAUGAGGGUGCAGUUGUAGUCUUCUCUAUACAUCGCUCACAUCGAAUCACAUUGUUUGUAGCCUAAAGGGUAGUAGCAAUAGAUUUGGUUAGUCAGAUGCACGCUUUCUCCUAGUGGUAAAAAUAUAAAUACGAUACUCUGGAUAACCUACCGGGUGAAAUGCACACUGAUAUCCGUGCGCUUGCGGUUCAUUUCCUGAUGGCGUUACCAAAUAUCAACAGUUGUCUCCGUCGUCGGCUCGGGUGCACCUUCGUGUGUGAAUUCUUCCUGGGAUAGGAUCUCUUUCAGUUCAUUAAACCGAGAUAACACCUCCUGUUCAUGUUAAAAUUUAAACAGAUAAAUCAUUAUUGUACAUAUACUGAGGGACAUAAAAGUUAGAAAGAUUUAAUUACGGAUGAGUAAUACACCUCAUCUCUUUCUGUAACGUAAUCAGGGUCACGUUCUAAUUCACGACGAGCGUUCCUCUCUAUGCGAGGAUCUGGAAUGUCGCUAGGGGAGAUCUCGUACGAAGGACUUGAUUCACGUUCUUCUGCAUGCUCCGUGUGGUCGGACCCUUGUGCUUACUAAGUGUUGUGUGACCCUUCCACCUUCUCUGUGUGGUCCGAACCUUUUUCCGGUGCUUGAUCGAUACGGUCGGACCCUGACGCUUGGUUUGGGGUUGGAGAAGUCAUCAUGAUAAUAUAUACAAAUAAAUACUUAGCAUAUGCAUCAUGCAUUAUAAAUAGUUGCAUUAUAAAGAAAGAAAUAACAAUUACUUAGCAUUGUAAAUUAUUAAAUAUUAAUUGUUUAUUAUUUUUAUACAUAUAUAUAUAAUUGCAUUGUAAAUAAUUGCAUUAUAAAUAAUUGCAUUAUAAAAAAAGAAAUAAUAACUACUUAGCAUAUGCAUAAUGUAUAUACAUAGACACUUAAACUAAAAGUAAAUAUUAAUUGUUUAUUAUUUUUAUACAUACAUACAUAUAUAUAUAUAAUUGCAUUGUAAAUAAUUGCAUUAUAAAAAAGAAAUAAUAACUACUUAGCAUAUGCAUAAUGUAUAUACAUAGACACUCAAAUUAAAAGUAAAUACUAAUUGUUUAUUAUUUUUAUACAUACAUAUAUAUAUAUAAUUGCAUUGUAAAUAAUUGCGUUAUAAAUAAUUGCAUUAUAAAAAAGAAAUAAUACUUACUUAGCAUAUGCAUAAUGUAUAUACAUAGACACUUAGACUAAAAGUAAAUAUUAAUUAUACAUCAUAUAUAUUUAUUUAGGACAAUUAAUAAUUAUUUAAGACAAUUAUACAUCAUAUAAGAAAAAUAAAAAAUAAAAAAAUAAAAAAACUAGCCGCUGGUGGGCGGCCCAGCUGGGCAGACGGCCCACCUGCCCUUGCCCCUGCCCAUCCCCCUCCCCCUCGCCCUCUGCACCGGCGCCAAGGACGCCGCCGCCGUUGCCUCGGGUGAGCAGCCCCGACGCAGCCCCGGCCGCCUCAACUUCCCCUACCUGCCUACACCGCCUCGACUCCCCCACGCCCGGCCGCACUGGCCGCGUCGUGCGCCGGCGAGCCAUGGCCGCCACGCUCUCUGCCUCCCCCCUGAGCUCCCGCAUCAGCCGCCGCGCGCAGCUGCACACGCACCCAAUCCCGCGUCGCAGCCGGCGAGCUUACCUCGACGAGUAGAAGAGAAGAUGCCGGCGAGAAGGAGAAAGGCGUUGUGUGUUUGAACAGAGACUGGCGCCUUCGGAAACUUAGAAUUUUUCGAGUCUGUGCCUGGAGUAUAUAUUCUACUGACGGUUGGCAUUGACCAUCGCCUGUAUAAAUAGCACUAUACCACUGCAUGCCUAUACAAAGAAUUUUGUAAUUAUUAUUAUUAUUAUUAUUAUUAUUGUUUUCUAUAUUUUUUGUAACUAUUUUUUAUUACAUAUUGAUAUUUGUAACAUAAUUAUAUGUUUAUAUAUUAUUUGUAUAAUGAUAUUAUAAUCUAAUUAUAUUGUUUCACACCUAUAUAUUAUUUUUUGAUUUCAAAUGCAUAUUGCAUAUUGUAUGAAAGGUAGAGUUUGAUGAGCUCUAACUCCUCUGUAUUAAAAACUUUUUCAUUUGAGGUCAUUUAGUUCCUAGUUUGACCUAGUUUGACCAAGUCAAAUUUUGAAAUUUCAAAUUUCCACAGCAGAUACACACACGUUUUCGAAACCCGAGCCGUCUCCAACUUGAAAAGUCAUGAAUACAAAGUUUAUUCCACUCAUCAAGAUAUACAUUUCAUACAUAGGACAUUUUUGCAUUUGACAAAGCAUUACAAAAGUGUAGUUCUAAAUCCACAAGUCUCACAUAUAGUUUCAUAAACUUUAUGUGAGAUUCAAGACUUUGUGACUAGAGUUUACCAAUCCUUUCCCAAAUGCCAAAAUAUACUAUGUAUGGAAUGUGUAUCUUGAGGAGCUCUAAGACCCAUGUAUUCAAAAGUUUUUCAUUUGAGGUCAUUUAGUGCCUAGUUUGACCAAGUCAAAUCUUGAAUUUUUCUGAAAAGUUACUUUGACCGGACCCUUGGUAGUCUCACAUACAAAAGUCAUGAAUACAAAGUUUGUCCAGCUCAUCAAGAUACACAUUGUGUGUAAUGGUCAACUUUUCAUCUGAGAGAGUUUGGACCACUCAAAUUUUGAAAUUUUAGAUUUCCACAGCUACACACACGUUUCUGAAACCCGUGACGUCCCCAACUCGAAAAGUCAUGAAUACAAAGUUGUUUCCACUCAUCAAGAUAUACAUUUCAUAGAUAAGACAUUUUUGCAUUUGACAAAGCAUUAGAAAAGUGUAGUUCUCAACCCACAAGUCUCACAUAUAGUUUCAUAAAGUUUGUGUGAGAUUCAAGACUUUGUGACUAGAGUUUACCAAUCCUUUCACAAAUGCCAAAAUAUCCUAUGUAUGGAAUGUGUAUCUUGAGGAGCUCUAACACUCAUGUAUUCAAAAGUUUUCAUUUGAGGUCAUUUAGUGCCUAGUUUGACCUAGUUUGACCAAGUCAAAUCUUGAAUUUUUCUCAAAAGUCAUUUUGACUGGACCCUUGGUAGUCUCAGAUACAAAAGUCAUGAAUACAAAGUUUGUCGAGCUCAUCAAUAUACACAUUGUGUGUAAUGGUCAACUUUAUAUCUGAGAGAGUUUGGACCACUCAAAUUUUAAAAUUUCAUAUUUCCACAGCUACACACACGUUGUUGAAACCCGAGACGUCCCCAACUCGAAAAGUCAUGAAUACAAAGUUUGUCCCACUCAUCAAGAUAUACAUUUCAUACAUAAGACAUUUUUGCAUUUGACAAAUCAUUACAAAAGUGUAGUUCUAAACCCACAAGUCUCACAUAUAGUUUCAUAAAGUUUAUGUGAGAUCCAAGACUAUGUGACUAGAGUUUACCAAUCCUUUCUCAAAUGCCAAAAUAUCCUAUGUAUGGAAUGUGUAUCUUGAGGAGUUCUAACACCCAUGUAUUCAAAAGUUUUUCAUUUGAGAUCAUUUAGUACCUAGUUUUUCCUAGUUUGACCAAGUCAAAUCUUGGAUUUUUUUGAAAAGUCACUUUGACCGGACCAAUGGUAGUCUCAGAUACAAAAGUCAUGAAUACAAAGUUUGUCCAGCUCAUCAUGAUACACAUUGUGUGUAAUGGUCAACUUUUCAUCUGAGAGAGUUUGGACCACACAAAUUUUGAAAUUUCAGAUUUCCACAGCUACACACGUUUUCGAAACUCGAGAUGUCCCCAACUCGAAAAGUCAUGAACACAAUGUUUGUUCCACUCAUCAAGAUAUACAUUUCAUACAUAGGACAUUUUUGCAUUUGACAAAGCGUUACAAAAGUGUAGUUCUAAUUCCACAGAUCUAACAUAUAGUUUCAUAAUGUUUGUGUGAGAUUCACAUACAUUUCAUACAUAGGACAUUUGACCAGAGUUUACAUGAUGAAUCACAAAUACAAUCUAGGCUCCUACUAUUCUUCCUUGUCCAUCAGGGCGCACCCAUGGCAAAGAACUCAGUGGGAUUUUUUUAAUAGUAUUUUUUAUCUUCACAGGAUGGUCCACAAAGAGGGACAUAUCACUAAACUGGUUAAAACCCUCCAAAUCUGAUACACCUUCAACUCCCACUGCUUGUUGCUUUCCUAGAAAAUCUACAUGCUUCGAUUUGUCGGUACUUUUCUUCUCAUUCUUAGAAAGGAUUUGUUCAGCAUAGAAAACCUGUGCAGCACGAUUAGCAAGGAUCCGAGGGUCAUCUUUAUAUCCCACCUUACUUGGAUCAAGAACUCUAACCCCAUAAUUAUCCACUGUGACAUGUUUAUCUUCAACCCAUUGACAUCGAAACACAGGGAUCUGAAAUGUACCAUAGUCUACUUCCCAUAUGUCCUCGAUGAAGCCAAACUAUGUAAUAAUAUCACCAGUUUUGUCAUCUAUGGCCUCGCAUCGAACACCACUAUUUUGUGUCAUGCUCUUUUGGUCCUUGGACUUGGUAUGAAAUGUGAAUCCACUUAUGUCAUAGGUUUGCCAUGUUAUGACUUGGCGUGAUGGUCUAGAUGCCAAAGCCUUGAUGGUUUGUUUCUCAAUUGUUUCCCUGUAUGGAAUGUCAUGCUCCCUUAGCUAUGUGUACAACUGUUUCUUGUGUUCCUUCAUUACCCAAUCCUCUGUUUGCCUAGGAUUAAGUUCUCAAAGCUCAUUCAUGUGUUGUUCAAUCAAAUGCUCCAUUAUUGAGAGCUGAUGUAAGAUGUUGUGAUCUGCCUCAAGUACUGUAUUGUAAUCUGGUGGGAUGAAUGAUUUCCAUCCAAUCCUCCCACAUCCAUGUAGCCUACCCUCAUGUCUUGACGGAGGCAAACCUAUUGCAACCUUCUUUUAGGACAUUAUUGCAGAAUGGUUCUUCGGACUCAAUCGCCUCUUCGGUACAAUACCCCUCUAUCAUGGAUGCCUCAGGACGAGCACGAGUUGAUACAUAGCCAUUUAGUAUUAACAUAAAACGCUCGUACGUCCACAUUUCAUGCAGGUAAAUGGGACCCAGUGCCUGUAUUUGUGGAACCAAGUGCACCACAAGGUGCAUCAUGAUAUCAAAGAAUGAUGGGAGGAAACACAUCUCAAAUUAUGACACUGUUUCCACUACGAAUUCCUGAAGGGAUUCUAACUCAUCACGGUGAAUUACCUUUUGUGUGAUCUUGUUGAAAAAGUAGCACAAUCGUGUGACUGCCGCUGGAUUUAUAGCCCUUAUUGCAAUAGGGAGGAAAGUAGACAGCAUGACAUGGUAAUCAUGUGAGUUGUAGUUUGUGAGUGCUAGGUCUUUCAUUGACACAAAACUUCGUAUGCUAGAGCAGAUUCCAUCAGAAGCAUGCCAACUCAUAAGUUUUGCAUCCUCAGGGUUAGCAAAUAAACUCCUCAGUCGAUCUACCACUGGAAGGUACCAUAUCACUAAAGCAGGAAUCUUUUUCUGUGCAUAAUAGUAAACUUCUUCUUUAUCUUUGCUCAUGGGUUUUGAACUCUGUUGGGUGUUCUUUUAGGCCUUCUUUCACUUCUUCCCUGCUUUACACAUGGAGGCAGCACAAUCCUCUCAAUAGUCUUUGUUUAUCUUGUACCGACUUGCACCACACUUUGGAUAACUAUCCAAGUCCUUGUAAUCAUCACCUCAGUAUAGGAUACAAUGAUUUCUACACGCAUGGAUCUUCUUGACACCCAUAGUCAGCGGACUGAUCAGCUUCUUUGCAUAGUACGUGUUAGCAGGGACUUUGUUCUCCUUUGGAAGCAUAUCGCCGAUAAUACUUAAGAACGCAUCGAAUCCAGCAUCACACAAACCAUACCUGGCUUUUGCCAGCAACAGUUUUAGCACAGCUCGCAACGUUGUGAACUCUUUGGUACAACAUUUAGACUCAUCAUACAAAGGCUCUUCUGCAGCCUUCUUCAAGACCUCCGUCCCUUUCAUUAAUAACAUUGAUGGUUCAGUAUGACGACGCAACAUUGCCUCCAAGAAUUCUGCUUCUUCCGCAGCCGUAUUAUAAUUAAAACCGCCUGUGCAAAUUUUUUACCACCGCCGGCUUAGAGCAUUUGUGUACUAGUGACAAUGGCUCCGACUGAUUCGGCAUUCUUGCUGAGGUUGUCCUCUGAGGGACUCGAUGAUUCAGUGGGCUGCCUCCAUGUCAAACAAAAGAGUACACACAAAGUACAGGCUAAGUUCUGGGUUAGGUAAACAGAGCCUGCCAUGAUCAUAAAGCAUGUACAGUCUAUCAUGUUUUGUUUUUAGCAUUCUAUCAUGUCUAAAUGACUCGUAACCUAUGCACGAUCAAAUUUCAUCUAUAGAUUCAAGAGAAGCAUUUUCCAAUAAUUUUAAGCUAACAACUAUGCGAGUAACCAAAGAAGUGCAACCAACAAGACCCACCAGAUCAGAUGUAGACAGCCAAUGUGAUACCAGAAGUUGAACUGGUGAGACUUGUAUCUUUUUACAUGCAGUACAAAUUAAUUAUAAGUCUCCCGCCACUCUAAUCUUGCGUGGUCAUCUCUUGCAACAUAUCAUAUGCAACCCAGCUUCAUGUGCAAAUUAUGCAACCCCCAAUUAAGGCCACAUGAUCUAGAUCUAACGUAUGAGGUUUUUUUCACUUAAACCCCUCCACCUAUGGGUUUAAAUCUAACCCGUGUUUAUCCAAAUGGAGGCUUUAACUGAAAAAAAACCUCAGACGUUGGAUCUAGAUCCUGUAGCCUUAAUUAGUGGUUGCAUAUGUGGCACACGAAACUGAGCUGCACAGGAUACGUUGCCAAUAUCCUAUCCAUUUAUGCAAGAAACAGACUCGUACAGGGCUGAUAAAAGGUGUCCAUACAAAGAUCUUUCCAAAAUUGAUGUCUAUGAAAAUCUUCUAAGAGCAUCUCCAACCGUUUUGCAAAUAAGCUUUGCAUUCAUGUAUUUGCAAAAAUGUCUUAAAAACACUUAUCCAACGGUUUGGCAUUUAGACUUUGCAAUUUUGUUAACUUGGCAAAAAGAGAGGAAGGAUUGGCAUAUAUGCCAAACCUGUUCACACUUGGCAUUGGGAAAUUGGCGCGAAGUGAUUAAUGCCAAACCAUUGGAGAUUGUCUCUUUUCACAUUUGCCAUAAUUUUUUGAGACUUGGCAAACUCUCUCAUUUGUCAAACCAAUUAUGCAAAACGGUUGGGGAUGCUCUAAGGCGGUAUCCAAAUCUAGUGUGGCUCUUUGAGGAAACCUAAGGUGGUUACUUAGGUCCCUCCAUGUAAGAGAAAACUUCUCUUGGAAAAGUCUAAACGAGACCCCAUUUUCAGUAAUUUGUAGGGUGCAGAGAAAUUAAAUGGUUAACAUCUUUGACCCUAGUUCAGUUAUGUUCAAAAAGAAGCCCAACCAACCGGCCAAAAUAAUAAAUCAAAUUUAGUAUCCAAGGGUUCCUCUCCCAUUAUUGCCUGUUGAAAGCCAUGGAGCUGCUGUCCUCAGCAUAGAGCUCAAUCCUCAACGACAGGGGCAGCAGCCAUACCGAGCCGUGGAUGACGCAUGGAUGAAGGAUGAGGACAGAGGCAUAGAGCGUCUGUUUGGCGUUCUGCUCGCUCGCUCCGGUGCCGAGGAAGAUGGUGAAGGGCCAGCGGCAGGCAAACAUUCGGCAAUUAGCCUGUGGCGGUAGACGGAGAUUUGACGAGCAGCCGGUGGCGGCGGACGAACGAAGACCGCUGGCCUGGUCGCUGGAAUAGAACCAUUCCUGUUCUUUGUUUUAUUUUUUUUUGUCACUGCCUUGGAUUGGGCCGUGGGCAGGGCACAUAUUGGGUCAGAGUGGGAGAGGCAGCGAGAGGGUUAAAUCUGUGGACAUCUGACACUACUAUAGUCAGGCACGGCAGAGGCAGGCUAAUUAAGCUCUGUAAGAGUGAUUGAUCUAGCCGCCCUUAUACAAACGUUCUUAUAGUGGAUUCCACUGUAAGAGCGGUUCAACACCAGCCGCCUUUAUAGUGGUCAAAUAUAAGGGCGGCUGGUGUUUCUAGCCGUCCUUACUGUGAGCAUUAGUAAGAGCGGCUGGUGUUCCAACGCUUCUAUUGUCUACAUUUGUAAGGACGGAUCAAUCUACANNNNNNNNNNNNNNNNNNNNNNNNNNNNNNNNNNNNNNNNNNNNNNNNNNNNNNNNNNNNNNNNNNNNNNNNNNNNNNNNNNNNNNNNNNNNNNNNNNNNNNNNNNNNNNNNNNNNNNNNNNNNNNNNNNNNNNNNNNNNNNNNNNNNNNNNNNNNNNNNNNNNNNNNNNNNNNNNNNNNNNNNNNNNNNNNNNNNNNNNNNNNNNNNNNNNNNNNNNNNNNNNNNNNNNNNNNNNNNNNNNNNNNNNNNNNNNNNNNNNNNNNNNNNNNNNNNNNNNNNNNNNNNNNNNNNNNNNNNNNNNNNNNNNNNNNNNNNNNNNNNNNNNNNNNNNNNNNNNNNNNNNNNNNNNNNNNNNNNNNNNNNNNNNNNNNNNNNNNNNNNNNNNNNNNNNNNNNNNNNNNNNNNNNNNNNNNNNNNNNNNNNNNNNNNNNNNNNNNNNNNNNNNNNNNNNNNNNNNNNNNNNNNNNNNNNCCAACGAGUGAAUUUAUAUGCGUGCUCAAUUUCCCGGAUGAUGAUGCAAGAGUGACACAAAGAUUUAUUCUGGUUCGGGCAAAAGAAGGCCCUACGUCUAGCGCGAGAGGAGAUUUUGCAUUGUCUUGCACCUAAGUGCUUGUACACGGGUGAAUACAAGUGAAUGUAGCUAAGGGUUCUAAGUCGUAGCCGGUGAUGGUGGUAUGAGAAUCGUGCUCUAUGAAUGUCUUGGAUCUCUCCCAGCCCCCUCGAUAUCGUCCCCGGCUUCCCCUUUUAUAGUCCCAAGGGGAGGCCUAGGUUACAGGAUGUAGGUGUUUGAGUAGGCCUCGAUAGGGGUAUGGCGCGCUGACCUACUCGAGGCCUCCGUACCAGCGUGGCCUCGAGCUGUCCUGUUACGGGACACUUUGGUGAUGAUGGCGUGUGCUUCCCCUGAAUUCAGCUCGUGUACAUCGUCUGGUAUUGGCUUGAGCGCGCGCAUGCUUGUACGUCGUGGCAGUAGUCAUGUCUGGAGUGGUUGAAGCACUGACUUCCAUCGCUUGAUCCUUCCCUGGGAAGGAGCGCGUCUGCUCGAGAGUCAGGUGGCACAGGUGGAUCUGUGACGCAGGAGGACUGACCUUGAAGCUCUCGAGGGGGGUCGCGAUGGGAUAUUACGCCUGCUAUACUGUGUCGGUUCGUACUUUUCUCCAAUCUUGAGGAUAAAGCUCGAAAAAGUAGAGAUUUAACAGGUGCUUGUUCCCCCAUCACGCUUCGCGUGACUGUCGGGUUAGGUGGGAGCAUGGUAGCCACAUUAAAUGCUCUAGCUUCCGUACCCGCGACAGGCGGCGGGGAACGCUUUUGAGCUCGAGGCUUGUUGAUUCGCUCGACGUUAUUUCCGUAAUCGAUGGUUGUUGGCCAUCGAGCCCUUGUCGAUUUGCUCGACUCUGUUUCCGUAUUCGAGGCUAUGGUCGACACCGCGCCCUGGUGAUCCCGUAUUUAUGUCGGAGCGUCAAGCUUGAGCCUUGAAUUGUUUGUGGAUCCUUACAUUCUGAGCGCUGGCUGGGUACCUCCUAUUGACAUCCUCGACAUAUAGUAUAUAUAUAUACUAUAUAAUAUACUAAAAUUCUACAGAUCAAAAUCUAAUAUACUACAAAUCUAAAAUUCUAUGAAGAAAUCUAAUAUACUAGCUACCUAGAACUGCAAUCAAAAUCCAUAACCGAAGAGCAAGAAAUAAGAUCCUUGCCUUACAAGCUCAGGCUUGUAGAAGAUCAAUGGUGUCCUCAUCCUACAUCUGGCUCAGCUCUAGCAACAGGAGAUCUUUGACUUCCUGUGUUUAGAUGUGCAAAGAAAUGAGAACUUAACAACAGAUCUGCAGCGACUAAAUCUUGCUGGCACUACACAAUUAUCUCUUAAAAAUCAAAACUUAUCUCAUCAAAAUCAAAACUAGAUUGCAAGGAGGAUUUAUAUUGUUCAGAAUAAGAACCAAGUACAAGUGUAUUCUAAUUAAUUUUAGUAUAAGAUAAUUAGCAAAAUAUAUUCAUUAUACCGAGAAACAGUGAGAGAAAAGCAAUAAAUAGAAAACUAAUUAAAUUGGCAAUUAACCUGAACUUGCAAUGUCUGAUGGGCCGAACAUCAAGAUGCAUCAUAUAUCCAUUACCUCAAAUGGAACGUGGUGUUCAAGCUGCUUUGACAAAUCCCAUAUUCCGUGUGAAGCAAGUAUUCUUUUAACAGUUACUAGCUCUCCCUAGUCACUAUCAUUAUCACUUCAUUGUAUUUGACUAUUUGAAUAAAUUGGCUGCUCCAUCAGCUUGCUAAAGAGGCUUUAAUCUGUUGCAUGAGUUGUUUGAUUAAUUGAGUGAUCACAGCGGCCAACUCGUGCACUAAUCAAUUCAGUGGAAGAGGGUGAACGUCCUAUGAAGUAUUAACAGAAAUGCAUUACCCUGUUGUUUAGGGUUUAGUGAAAAAAAGAGAGGGACGUCCGCCACGGAAAAUAUAUAUUUUCCGUGACGGACAUAUUAAGAUGCUCGCUGCGGUAAAUCGAUUUACCGCAACGGGCAAAAAUGUCCGUUGCGGUUAAUUAAAAGUGCCCGCUGCGGUAAAUCGCACGAUUUACAGCAGCGGGCAAAAAAAACGUCCGCCGCGGAGUGAACAGUAGCAACGUCACGGAAGUUCGUUUCUGUAGUAGUGAAUUAUCUAAUAACUAUUUGGAAGCCUUGUCCUACAUCCUCAUACAGCAAGCAAAACUUAAUCCACGAAUAUAUCCUCACAACGUGAUGCUUAUUGCGCUCACCGAUGGUGGGGAUGGUGGUGACGAUCUCGCCAAGCUUGAGCUUGUAGAGGAUGGUGGUCUUUCCGGCGGCGUCGAGCCCCACCAUAAGGAUCCGCAUCUCCUUCUCACCUGCAACAGAAAAACACCAAACCCAGCCCAUCAAAACGCUGAUCCGCCACACGCCCAUCAGAAAGAGCAUCACUACCCUUUACGUACAAACUUCCAUCAUAGUAUGUUUACUUGAGCAAAUUAGGAUUUGAGAAAUCCUUCAACUUCUGAGAAACUAAUUGCCAAAUAUACUGUGCAAAAAUAACAUAGUUGAUAUAGGUGCUGCUACACGGUUGAAUCACAUGGCAAACUCAAUAACAAAGACAAUACUCCAUGCUUAUAGAGCAAGAAAAUAGCUUUCAUAUCCGUAGGCCAUAACUAUCUGCCUUAAAGGACUGGUCAAGGCCACCUUAGACAAAACACAGCACUAAAGAAUUCAGGGCUCGGUUUCUCUGCAAUCUAGUUAAAUACGAAAAUGGAACCACACCUAAAACAAAAUAGCAACUAAGGGCUAGUACUAUUUAGUGUACGCGCAGAUUAGCUUGAUCCCACAAUAAAUUAGAAACAAAUUUGUGGUGUGGCUUCACAACAAAUCUAUGUCUAAACAAAAUACAAUCUAAAAUCUUAUGUAUUUUAAAAAUAUUAUCAUCAUUUGACUGCAAGUGCACCCUAGUAAAGUGAAAUGGCUCUCACCUCCGGUCUCAUGUGGGAUGACAAUUUCACUUCGAUCAGGCAACCAUGUAACAAAAUCCCUGAGGCGUUGGAACCUUGAAGAUACUACCCCUUCAGGUCCUGCCAUGCCAUUGAAAACUGCACAAAAAAAAAUGAUGUAUUCAAUCGCUCCUGUGAACGAAGCUGUUUGGUUUAACUCUGUUAAUGAGAUCUCAGAGCCUUAGAAAAUGAAAAAGUUUGUCGGACUGUGAAAAACACGAUGAGCUAAAACGAACGAAAAUGCAUCAGAUUCCAUUCAUUAGGGAUCUAUAAAUGACAAUACUUACCUGGAUCCAUUUUGCACCAAGCCACAUCGUCAGAUCCGCUCGAGCCAGCUCGCCAGAUCUCGCUGCUGCCUGGAGUAGUAGGACAUGCAACACCAGACAGCCACAAUGCCCACGGCCUGGUUGCACCACCACACACUGCCUAGGGUACCUGGGUCGCACACUGCGCUUCCAUCGCCCAAGGCUUCAUGUUGCGCCGCCGCCAGGCGACCCCGACGAGCGCACAGCGGGGAUGCGGCCCAGACGACCGCUUGGUAGGGAUGGCGACCACAGCGGCGAGGACGGAGACCGCGGUGAGCUUUGGGCGGUGGUGGAGAAGGGCCGCCCCGAGGUCCAUAUGAGCGGCGUUUGAUGCCGAGUGUGUGUGGCGGCUCCUAGGUGGAUGGGAGCUGGAGAUAGGGUUUUGGGAACUGUAUGACCGAUGGGCCAUGUAAAUUAUACAUUGCACGCCAGUGCGCCGGCCCAAGCACGUCAAUACAAAACUGGGCUUCUCUAUUAUUAUUUAAUUAAUGCACUGGUUAGCAAAGCACUAAGACUAAGCAAAUGACUUCAAUUGAAAAUACGAUCAACAUCAAAGUAGCAGAACAUGUCAAGAUCUACAACUUUUAUUUUUAUUCUUUUUUCAUACGAGUUCAUUUGAACAAUUCAAAAUUGAAAUUUCAAAAUAUGAGAAAUAUGACAUAAUUUUUAGAUAGCAAAUGACUUCAAAUGAAAAAGUUAGACACAACAAAUUUUUGAAACUCAUCAAGAUCUACAACUUUUAUUUUGGUCAUUUUUUCAUCAGACUUUGUUACAAAAGUAAUGAAUACAAAGAAUAUCAAACUCAUUAAGAUCUACAUUAGGUGUAAUGGUCAACUUUUCAUUUGACAAAGUUUAAACCACUCAAAUUUUGAAAUUUUGAAAUUUUCACACCAACAUGCUAGUUUGACAAAGUUUGACCAUGUUUGACCAAGUCACAUCAUGGAUUUUUAUUUGAGGUCAUUUAGUGCCUUAUUUGACCAAGUUUGCCAAGUCACAUCUUGGAUUUUUAAAACAUAUGACUAGAGUUUAUAAAAACUUUUCUAAAUGGUAAAAUUAAAUGUGAUAAAAUGUAGACCUUGAUGUUUUAUAACACCUUUGUAUUCAAAACUUUUUUAUUUGAUGUCAUUUAGUGUCUCAUUUGACCAAGUUUGACCAUGUCAAAUCUCAGAUUUUAACAAAAAUACACUUUGACUGAACCAUUGAUGGUCUCAACUACAAAAGUAAUGAAUACAGAGAAUAUCAAACUCAUCUAGAUCUACAUUUGGUGUAAUGGUCUACUUUUCAUUUGAUAAAGUUUGAACCACUCAAAUUUUGAAUUUUUUAAUUUUCACACCUACAUGCCUGUUUUCGAAACCCUAGAUGGUCUCAACUCAAAAAGUCAUAAAUACCGAGAUUGGUCCACUCAUCAAGAUCUAAAUUUGAUACAUAGGUUAUUUUUACAUUUGACAAAGUUUUAGGAAAGUAUAGUUCUAAAUCCACAGGUCUCACAUAUAGUUUCAUAAAGUCUAUGUGAGAUUCAAGAUUUUAUGACUAGUGUUUACUAACACUUUCUUAAAUGCAAAAAUUAUCUAUGUAUCAAAUGUAGAUCUUGAAAAGUUCUAACACCUUAGUAUUCAAAAGUUUUUUAUUUGAGGUCAUUUAGUUCCUUAUUUGACCAAGUUUGACCAAGUCACAUCUUGGAUUUUGAAAACAUGUGACUAGAGUUUACAAAAACAUUUCUCAAUGGUAAAAUGAACUGUGUAUCAAGUGUAGAUCUUGAUAAGUUAUAACACCUUUGUAUUCGAAACAUUUUCAUUUUAGGUCAUUUAGUGUUUCAUUUGACCAAGUCAAAUCUUAGAUUUUCACAAAAAUACACUUUGACUGAACCAUAGAUGGUCUCAACUCCAAAAGUAAUGAAUACAAAGAAUAUCAAACUCAUCAAGAUCUAUAUUUGGUGUAAUGGUCAACUUUUCAUUUGACAAAGUUUGAACUGCUCAAAUUUUGAAUUUUGAAUUUUUCAUAGCUACAUGCCUGUUUUCAAAACCCUAGAUGGUGUCAACUCAAAAAGUCAUGAAUACCAAGAUUGAUCCACUCAUCAAGAUCUACAUUUGAUAUAUAUGCCAUUUUAACAUUUGUUAAAUUGUUACAAAAGUGUUGUUCUAAAUAUUGGAUUUUUUAAAAAUGACACAUUGAAUGAACCCUAGAUUGUCUCAAAUACAAAAGUCAUGAAUACAAAACUAUGUAUCAAAUGUAGAUCUUGAUGAGUUUUAACACAUUUGCAAUCAAUUUUUUUAUUUGAGGAUAUUUAGUGCGUCAUUUGACCAAGUUUUUUCAAAACUAGUGUAGGGGCGGCUGGGGAUUGAGCCACCCUAUGACUAGUGUUUACUAACACUUUCUCAAAUAUAAAAAUAAACUAUGUAAUAAAUGUAGAUCUUGAUGAGUUGUAUAAUCUUAGUAUUCAAAAGUUUUAUGUUUGAGAUCAUUUAGUGUCUUAUUUGACCAAUUUUGUCUGCAACCACUAUAGGGGCGGCUGGUGAUUGAGUUGCCCCUACAGUAGCCCACUAUAAGGGCGGCCAGUGAUUCAGCCGCCCUUACUGUGACCUGCAACGGUAAGGGCGGCUGAUAACACUAGCCGCCCUUAUAGUGGCCACUGUAGGGGCAGGUGACCAGUUGGGGCCGCCCGAGCCACUGUUAGGGCGGCUCCAAAGCCAAGCGCCCCUACAGUGGAAGGGGGUGGAGUUCUCUUAGUGUUUGUUUCACGUAGUGUGAUGUGAGCGGACGACAAUCCUUACUCGGACUGCCCUCUGUUGUUGUGAAGGGAACUGCCGUGGAUCUCGUUCAUCAGUUGAGGGAAGUAUCAUCAGUUGAGCUACCCUCAGUUGGCCACUUAACUGACACAUUAAAUUUAAUUUAAUGCAACACUCCUGUUUAUAUAUCAAUCAAAUGAAAUAGAGAAAAAGCAAAUGAAGAUACGCACGACACGACAUACAUAUUGCUUUACAAAAGGCCACAAUAAUAUAUGCAAUGCAACAUAUACACCUGAAAUACACGCGUGGUAAUCAUUUCACCACACACGAAACAUCCAUAUGUACAAUAACGAUGGCUCAGAUAAUUAAAACCCAUGCGUGGUAAUCAUUUCACCACACAUGAAACAUGCAUAUAUGUACAAUAACGAUGGCACAGAGAAUUAUAUGUUAUCUAUGUAAUCUUGUUUUCAUUAAGGUGGUGCUAUAUGCGUACUCACUCUGUACAUAUAAAAGAACGUAAUUAUGGAAACCGUGUUGGUCAAAUUAGCUUAAGUUUGACUAAGUUUAUAGUAAUAAUAUUAGUAUUUAUGUUUCCAAAUAAAUUUAUCAUGAAAGUAUAUUUUAUAACUAAUAUAACGAUACUUAUUUUAUCACAUGAGUGUUAGCACUUUUUUUAUAUAAUUUUAGUUAAAGUUUAAACCAUUUUACUAAUCGAAAUAUGAGAAUUGCAUUCUUUUAUGUACAGAGCUAGUACACAUUAACACAUUUUCACACAGAUUCAUCAAACAGGGUAAAAAAACAGCACAGACGAACAUACAAAGCCUUGUCCGUGAAAACCAAAUAUAUACUGCUAACAACAGUAGUCUGGGAUCGAUUACAUCUUAUUAGAAAACAUUACACGUGAAAAGGAAUAACAGAUAUCCAAGGAAAUAAUACUUAGCAGUAGUGAGCGGCAUAGAUGAAUACACACCCCAUAUUAUACAUAUAUAUAUAUGUAGCUUCCCCUACAUGCUCUGAUCUCUGCCUCCAUCCAUUAGCUAGCAUGCUUCCAUGGCAGUUAAUUAAUUACUUAUAACUAGUAUAUUUAAUCAUUCUCCAUCAUUUCUCAUCAACUCGUUCAAAUAUUAAAAGCGUACGUGUGGCGCGCGCAAACAUGCAUGGGCCAUGCACGCGAUCGAUCGAGAAUCUACACCACAUGGACGGCCGGGCUGUGGCGGCUCACGAAGACGUCGACCACGUCUCUGUUGGGCAGCAUCGCCGGCGGCGCGGCUGCUUCAGCAGCGCAGCUCCUGUUGGGAACCGCCGCCAUCUGGGCGACGACUGGGUGCACCCCGGAGCUCCUCUCGGGGAGUGCGGGGCUGAGCUUGGCGAUGUUGACGAGGACGUGCUCGUCUGCAGCUGAGGGAAGCUUGCCGCCGGCAUCCUUGCCCUCGGCAACCGCUACCGGCGUCUUGUUCAUGUACAACACGUACAGCACCAUCUGGACCACGCCAAAGGUGAACCCAAGGAUGUUUGGAAGCUGCAUGCAGAGAUAUGAGAGUUGUUUAUCGUCAGUAGGACACAUCACAAAAUGCUAAUAAAGAAAUAAAGAGCAAUUAGAUACCAUGGUGGUUAAAACAAAUUAACUUAAAAUAAUUAGCGCGACGUAUUUGUCCAAUCAUAGACUAACUAGGAUCAAAAGAUUCGUCUCGCGAUUUACAAUCAAACUGUGUAAUUAGUUUUUGUUUUCGUCUAUAUUUAAUGUUUCAUGCAUGUGCCGCAAGAUUCGACGUGACAGUGAAUCUUAAAAACUUUUUAAAUUUUGGGAUAAACUAAACAAGGCCUUAGAUACCAUGGUGGUUGCAGCAAAUUAAAUUAAAUUAAAAUAAUUACCGCAACAUAUUUGUCCUUGAUGAGGAGGCCGUAGAGGAACCAGACGACGGCGCUGAGGGUGAGAGAGAGAGAGAGCGAGAAGGGCAUGUACUCCACGCUCUUGGUCUGGAUCACACGCUUCUGCACGUACAUCACGCAUGCAGUCCAUUAGUAACACAUCAAACCUAUUGAUGCUACAGUGAUUGGGUUCAUCUGUCUAUGCAUGCACAGUUGUAUAUGCUUGCUCACCAUGAUGCUCAAUGGUGCCACAAAUACACUGACGGAGAAACCGACACAGAUCCAUCCAAGCAUGACAACACGCUUAUCACCCUUAAAGAGGAGAAGGGUGAGGAGGAGGAUGACCCCAAAGAUGCCGACAUUGAGAAGGAGCAUGAUCUUGGCCGUGAACAUUUUGCCUUUUUUGGGCGCAUAGACGAAGUACAUGAUGAUGUAGAUGGUCUCGAUCACGCAGCCGGCGGCGUUGAUGGUGAUGAGGAAGGUCUCGUUGGACUUGAUCAGUGCAUAGAAAAUCCAUAACAUGGCGCUGAACAGGGCAACCACGUACGGAACCGACUGGAAACCCUCCGUCGACUUGGUCUUGUAGAUGCGGUAGAAUGUCGGUCUAUACGAGUGCAAGGAUCGUCAGAUGAAAGAAAUGUUUCAAUUGAAAUGGUGAACAUCUCAAGUAGCGAUAAAUUAACAAGUCAGGUUCUUGUCACUUACAUCGGGGCCAGGAAGGUCAUGAAGGAGAUGACGUUGCCUGCAAAGCAGAAAAAAGGGCACCAAGAUCAGGCGUUUGCAAAAGUUGCCAAAGAGAGAUAGCCCCAAAUAAAGCUGGGAUAAGUUGUGAUAAGCUGACAGCUUUACAACUCCGGCCGGACUAAUUUGCCUUCUGUUGUCAAAGAUUGGCGAGGCUUUAAUAUAUUUUUAUUUAUUACAGGACCCAAGUAGCUAGAUUGAAAAGUACCGAUUGCUAGCUCGACAAGUAGUCCAUGAUGGAAAUAUAUAGGAUGCCACAGGUGAUAUACAAAACCUAGUGAUGCAUUCUCAAUCUGUUGCAACUAAGUGAUUAUGACCGCAAGAAUGUCUUGUACAAAACCUAGUGAUGCAUGCUUACUAUAAUCUGUUGCAACUAAGUGACUAUGACCACACAAGAACGUCUUAUAUAUAUAUAUAUAUAUAUAUAUAUAUAUAUAUAUGUAUGUAUAUUUUUUUUUUCCUGGGAAUGUUUGGAAGGUAGUACAAACUCCACUACGUAUACUUUGAUUGGUGAUCACCGAAGUGCAGGUUCCACUAUGUCAUGUAAUAUCAUGCACUAGCAACUAAGAGCGAUAAGAUGUUUCUGAAUACACAAUUAUAGCAAUAUAUAAAGUGAAACUUAACUAAGCAGAAUAGAAAGAUAAAUAAAUAUAUCUAUGCGCGAUUUUUGGCCUUACGGUUCUAAUUGUAUAGUGAAAGGUAAAAUAUACACAUAAAUAUAUAUACCAAGGAGGCCGAACGCGAAUGCCCAGGGGUGCUGCAGAGAUAGACCUGCCAUUACGACAGAAAGGGGGAGCUACAAAUAAUAUAAUAGGGUCACAAGAAUUUCCCAACACAAGCUAUACAACUGAAAGAACAGUUGCUGGAAUCACGAUGAUGAGCUUGUUAUAGGCUUGGGAACUACUACUUCUCUUCCUCUCUAACCCUUUGGCCCCUACGGGAGGGAAGGGAGGAGGGUUGUGAGGAGUCCUCUCGCUCUGUGUUGGCUGAAACUCUUGCAAUGAUAGGCUGGGCUGUGGGUGGCUUUAUAUAGGCAGGAGGUGGCACGUAGCCCUUGAUGUACAUGUGUUGUGUCAUAGUGUACAUGUGUGCAGGCUCUACAAUCACAUAGUAUGUCAUUAAUAUUUUUUCUGAAAUUAUAUAUGCAAUGCAAAGAUCUUUUUCAAUACGGGUAGCUUUAGAGAUGACAAAUUUCUGGCCAUAUGUAUUAUCACUAGACUAUAAAUUGUCCUAUAUAUAUUAAUAGAUUGAGAUAAUCUUCUCCAUUCAAAAAAGCGGGAGCUGCUUUGCGUGUAUGCUUUAUAGUCCAUUAUACAACGGUGAGUGCCAGGGGUAGUACACUCCAAAUUGUUGUGCACCGCCUGGGGUUCCUCCCCAACCUGCUUUGGACGACUCAGUGGUAAUGGCAAGAGCCGCCGCGCUACAGCAAAUUAAAUUACAUGAAGUUUAAUUUUCCAACAGGGACUGAUCACGACAGCAUCCUUUUUGGACAUAUAAUAUAAAGAUCAAAACUAAUUAAGUUGUUCUAACGACUGGUUAAACAUUUUUUAUGUGCAUUACUCAUGUUUUCAACAUAUGAAAUAUUUUUUGCAGCUUAAAAAACCCUUGUUUUGCUUCAAUUGAAUAAUAUAGAGCAUCACAUAUGAUUGUAAUAUGGCACCAGUAACUAUGACUCAAAAACAGUAUAGAUCUUUGUCGGCAUGUAUAUAUCAUUUUGGAAUGCCUUUGCUUCUUUAAUUCUACUUUUCUCACGUCGCUGCGGUUAGUGGACAUACAUUGCUUUCCGCCAGCUUUUCUUUUCCUACAAUGCUUGGUUUCCAAUCAAUUCAAUGAUUAGAACACUUAGCAUAAUUAAACAUAUAUAUUAAAGAUUCUGUGUGCUCCUAAAUAACAUACAUGUGAUACUAAUUACUUAUGCCGUUAUGUGAAAAAUCAUGAUCAUCAUCCUGUGCUCUUAAUUAAUCCAGAUCAUAAAAAAUGUGUCUAUACUAAAUCAUUUUUUUUCUUACUUUUCUGACUUUUUUAUAAAAUAGUUUCAAUUCCCGCUAUAAAUUAACAGAAAAGGCCAUCCACAGUUAAUCGAAUAAAAUACACUUAGUUAUACAAUAAAUUUAAUUUAUUUAGAUUAGCCACACAUAUUGUGAUAGUAUGCCGAAGUGUGGUAGUUUAAUUAAAGUCCCAGGAAUGGCCAAAACAAUAUGCUUUUUCCAUGUUGUUUGACGGUAGCUUCCGAGGGAUAUUAGGAGGAAAGAGAGUGUGUUUUUGCCACGUACGUUUCCCCAUCCUAAUCACGAUUAUUGGAGGCAAACCGAAGUGACUGAUUAAAAUGGGAGUUCUUUAUUUUUAUGUUGCACAUGGAAUAAUGAUUCAUUUUGAGGUGUUGUCGUUGUAGUAAAGUGCUAAAUUUAUCUAACGCUUUAUUAUCUAAAUCUUCACCUAGUACAAUAAGAGUAAUUCUAGGAACUAAGGAGUUAUUUCAUAUACCAAUAUAAUUCCUUAUCUUAUAUUAGCUAUUUUAAGCAGAAAAAACCAGCAAUACAUGUUAACCAUGUAUUCCUACAGACUACAUGACUUUGUCAUGUACAAAGCAUUUUAUGUAGUCAACUUUAAUUUGUUUCAGAUAAAUAACAUUAUUGUUCCAUUGUGCGGAAUAAAACCCUAAGCAUACAAGUAGGGUUGGCUGUGUGAUAUGGAGAAAAUCAGUACAAUUGGGAUUGCCACCGGCCUUAAACAUAAAAAAGUAACUAGAUAUACAUGAAAUUAAAAACAGAUUAUGCUUUCAGAACGUAUUUUGGUUGUUACAAAUACGGUUACUUUGUUUUGCUAGGUAACACUACCCUAGGAAUACUUUUUAGAGGUAGACAUAUUGUCCUUUUAGAGGUGAUCUGAGCCGCUCCUGCCUUCGCUGCAAAAAAAAGAUAAAAUAGGUGAGACAGAGAGCCAAUGGAAGAUUAAAGGUCAUCUACUACUAGCACAAUAAUGCUCUGUACAGGUGGUUUCAAACACAUUUUUUACAGGCGUUUUUUCAGACUCGCCAACAUUGGCGGCCAGUGGAAAUGAAAACUUUCCACUAGCGGGUUAUCUUAGAACCGCUAGUGAAAACCAAUUUCCACUAGCGGUUGGCAAGGACGACUAUCUAUGGAAAUCCAUUUCCACUGGCGGUUUGGUAAAGAGAACCGACAGUAGAAAUAUAUUUUCGCAAGCGGUUUUCUUAAUAAAACCAUUUAUAGAAAGUUUUCAAAUGUUCCCGCCUUUUUUCCAAUGUUCCCUCCAAACCCUAUUAUAUAUAUGUAUGUAUAUAUAUAUAUGUAUAUAUAUAUAUAUGUGUGUGUGUGUGUGUAUACUAGUUAAUCCUAUUGGAUCAUGUCAAAUAUAGGAACAUACAAUUUAAUUACAUCAUACAUUUAUAUACAUCAAAGUUGGUGCUUGCAAAAAUAAAGUUAAAUAUAUCUACAUCACAUAUUACAUACAUCAAAGUUUGCACAUUGGCUCUAAUAAUAAUCUAGACUAAGGUUUAGCCUACUAAUCUUUGUUAGCACUUUAUAGUCUGGCCUUGCUAAGACGUUGGUGGCAUCCUGAUAUUGUAUCUUGUGUUCUCUUUCAUGAACUCGCACACGUAGAAUCCAUAGAGGACCGAUCCGGCUUGUUGCUUGUGGCACUAUAUAUAAUUGGCAAGUGGUUAUUAUGGUUAUUAGUUUCAAUAUGCAUGAUAUGAUAUAUAUUCAUAAUUUUACAUACAUACCGGCCAUUUAUAAAACAUUUACAAUGGCUGCCCUAGUUUUGAUGACUCGCAUCUUUCGCCUUUAAUCUUAUAAAACCUAUAUGCCCUAUGAUCUCAAAAGAAUGACCAUGUUAUUCUCAUACUCAAUCUCAACGAAAGGUUAAAGGUGAGAUAUUUACAUAUGUAGCAUUCGUUGGAUGGUCAUGAAUGCUACAUAAGUUGAAGGAUUGUAAUCUGCGGAGUCUAGGACCAGCACCUUUCCAUCCCUUGGAUGAAUAAUUGUUGACAGUAGUUAACUUCUAUUUUUAACUGUCAACAUAACUUUUAUAACUGCAAAGUGAUUCUCACCAACAUAGGUUUAGAGGUUUGAACUAAAAAAUUCCACAAGUUUUGGUGCAUCUAUGUUUUGUAGGGGAUACACAGGAAAAGAGCUAAAGGCAAACUAAUCAUUGAAUAAAAGUACCUCAAAUGAUGAAGUGCGCUGCACCAUUGCGACGGGCUUGUCGAGACAAUCAAAACGGACAUAUCUAAUUUUUCCUAGUGUCCGCUGGCAAAUAACCACCAUUCUGCAUGUCCCACAGCCAAUUCUCCCAAAUAUCAAUGUCUAUGAUGUUAGUUUUGUCUCUAAUCUUGACAAGAAUUUGUUGUGAAAGGAUAUCCUACAACAUUUCAUGUUGCAAGCAGAUGAUUAUGAUGGUAUCAGCAAUGAUAAAUUGAAGGAGCCAGUUCGGAAGUGGGCUUUGAAGAAUAUGGCCACACAAUUCUAGACUUGGAAAAAAACCCUAUACAACACAUACAUCAAGAAGAACAUAAGGCGAAAUUUCAAUACUACUAGGGCACAGUAUCGAAGUUGAGGCCCUACUGAAUGAUUUUGUAUAGUACAUGACAUUGGUAGAGGAUGAGACACCAGUAUGAAGGAACUAAGAGAAUGCCCGAAAAAAGGUAUACCGCUAUGACAUGUGGUCAGGUGGUUACGAGACGGCCAUUCCGAAGUGGCAAAAAAUGGAAGCAGACAUUAUUGCCAAAGGGGUCGAACUAGAAUCAGCCAAGCGGCCACAACGCGUGAAAAAUUGGUUUUUUGGUCUUGGGGGGAGACUCGACCCUGACACCAGUCUAGCAGUGUAUGGGCAAAAACUUCAAACAGCUACAGAGAGAUUGGCUUAUGCUAUACAAGCUAAAGAGAUUGGUGCGUUUAAGCCCAAAAGAGAGAAGGAUGAGCUGACAUAUGCCAUUGAGACUGCUAAACAUAGUGGCCAAAUGAGAGGUUUAGGACUCAACACUUCAUGGGAGCAUGGUUUCUAUAAUGACAGGGAAACCUACCGAAUCCGUUAGAGAAGGAAGGAGGAGGAAGCAGCGUGUAACAAAAUGUUGGAGCAAUCGGUGCUUCAAGCAGAGUGAGCCAAAGCAUUGGAAGAAAGAGUGCAUAAAGAAAUCCAAAAGCAAGUGCAGAUAGCGAAUAGUGCCUAGAGGCAGGCAUCAGAUCUAGGAAUGAAUGUUAAUAUUACCCCCCUGGUUAGUUGAAAAGUAGCUAUGCUUAUCCGUGGAUGAUGUCAUGACUCCAAUGACGACAAUUGAGGUUCAUAUUCCAAGGAAGAAUGACACAAUCAUGGUCGCUGUCGAUAUUUAUAAUCAUCCAGACCCUACAGAGAUACCGAGAAUCCAUGGGGCACUAAUGCCACCUGGAUUUGCUACCAUUUCAGCAGAUAAAGUGAGCAAAUAUUAUGACAAUGUAGCUCUUGACAUUCCUGGAGGUGAUGUAGAUAAGACUCUAGGACAAGCAGAGAAGGCAUACAUAUUAUGGCGCAAGCGUUACAUCAUUAUCCUCGAGGCGUCUGCUCCACCGCGAGUAGACAUUAGGUAUGAACAAAAGUUAAUGAAACUUUUUACUAACUACCUAUGGGCACGAUUAAUAAUAACAAUUUAAUUAUAUUUCAUUAUUUUUCAUACUAAAAAAAGCAGGGUCUCCGCCAACCUAAGUCCAAUUACUGCUUCUUUGGAUCAACAUAGUGCUCCAAGCAAUGAUGAUGCCUUUGCAAGCACUGCUGCAUCCCCACCAGCUCCAACUCCUCCGCCACCUCCAAGGAAGUCUCCAGUUCCCCUACUUCCUCCAAGAAAGUCUCCAACUCCGUCGCCGCCUCUAAGGAAGUGUAGAUCACCUUCCCCACCUCUAAGGAGGCCAACUACUAAGAGGUCUGCCACACAAGCGAAGUCGUUGUCCUACACACCAGCAAAUAAGAUCAAAGGUGCCAAAACUCAUCCAGUUAUUCCUAGAAACUAUCUCACAAGAAGAGUGAUGCCAAAUUAAAGGUUGCAGUAGAAAAAGAAGUGCAUGAUUAGUUUGAAGUUGUAAAAAAAGGCAUGACUAGCGAGAGGGAAGCCGAUGACAAUGUACUUCUAUCUACGUCCGGAUCAGUUAAGAAAGAAGGUGGACCAAAAAAAAUGAGAUUUUCUUAUGUCUAACAUGAAACAAACAGACUAUGACCACUCUCUCACCAAGUUAUUUGAGGAAGCACAAAAAAAAAGAGAGCAGGGAAAGGUGUUGCACAACUCAGACAACAAUCGCAACAAUCGAUCCCCCCUUGUUGUUCCUAACCAAUAUGGGUCAAACUUAAAUAUACUAGAGGUCGGCUUAGAUGGGUUUCAUCAGUUUUACAAGGACACUAGUUUAGACCUUGCCGUAGUGCUUGCUCAAGGACCAUCUGCUCUGGAAGUGGAUCCUUAUAGGAAAUAUAAACAAGGCUAGAGUCUUUACAACCCUAAGAAAUUAGGUAAACUGGGUACGCAAAUGUACGUGCUAAACCACUUGCACAUGGAGGCAUCUAAAGGGAUACAGAUCUUUCUUUUUGUCAGAAUUAGAAACUAACAUUACUUCCAUGGCAAUGACAUUAUCUAUAUAUGUCGAGUUUCCUGAAUUACAGCAACUAUGCCACCUAGACUCCCUCAACAAAAUUCUCAUUAGCAGCUAUUGCAUGUAAGUGUGUGAUAAUUUUCUACUAUAUUAAAGUGUGUGCAUAUAAAUAUAUAUAUUAAUUAAUUAAUUAUUCUCACACUAUAUAUGGUGAUAUAUGCAGAUAUCAGAUGACAAAACUAAGAAAGAGAAAUGAUAAUAAUGUUAGUUUCAUUGAUCCAUAUAUCGUAUACAAACACCCUAGCCCCCGUGUGAUUAUAAGCCUGAACAAGAAAAUAAUCAGUGAACCAAUGCAACAAGAAGUACAUAUAUACUAUUCACCUCCAACUUCAUGUAAAUGCUUAGUCAUUAAAAUAUGGAUCGCAUGGGACAUUAUUUUUUAAUUGAUUAUUUCCUUAUAGGUAGCCAAUAAGUUAUGUCCCAUAUAUAUAUAAUAUUUAUGCAGCAAUCACUAGAUAUUGAUGGUCAUUGGUAUGGCCAAUAGUAGAUUGAAAAUCUUAGUCUUCUUGUGAAAACCACAAAAGGACUAUCAAGACAUGACAGAUAUUAUUCAAAGAUAAUUAAUUUAGUUUCUCUAUGGAAACUGUAUAUAGUGGCCAGAUCACUCAACAAUUAUUAAACAAUCAAUUAUGUUUUUAUUGGGCACAGAGUUUAGAAAAAAAUCAUUGAGGUAAAAAAAAUGAAUCAUUGCAAAGCGCCACUGGAUAGAAUCGCACACAAAAGUAACUACUAUAAUUAUAUUUAUAUUCAAUUUACACCUGUUUGUUACUACCAACGGGGACUAAAUGUCCUGCCCCGUGGAUAGACCUCAAGUGUCAUUGUAGUGCCCAUUAUUACUAACAAUCGGUAGUAAAGGUGAACCUUUAGUCCUUGGUGCGCUGCUGGGACUAAAGGUGCUCUCCUUUAGUCGCGGAUUGGAGCUCCCGGUUGGGAAACUGGGACUAAAGGUGUUUUUCCAACCAGGAGUAAAUACCGUUUCUAUACUAGUGUAUAGAACACAUAAAAAAUAUUGUAUUAUAACAAAGGUACCAUAUUUGUUUUAAGAAUACAAAGGUAAUAUAUAAUUGGCACUUACUAACAAACAUAUGGAAGUACGCGAUACUUUUGUACUCAGGAAAUGCCAUACUUUAUCUGCCUCUUACCAUGGAUGAGGACUUUCCAUGCAUUAGGUUUGAGUGUUAGUUAUUAAUAACCGAACUUUGAAACAAUUGCCACAACAGAUUGUAUUUUAAGUCUGGGAGAAUUUUAUACACUACUAAUACCUCGAGCUAGCCAAAACUUAUUAGGCCCUUUGUUAUAUAUUGGAAAAUGGUUAAUAAUUUUCGUUAAUGGAAACUAUGUGUCAAAAAUCUUCGAUAUGUAGUCAAUCUAUAUACAUAAACAGUAGGUUGAUCAUAAUGUGAUGAUGGCAUGGACCUGGAACCUGCGCUGCUCACGCUAACCGCAAAUGGUGCAUCCAACUGUCAUUCGUUCUCUUUUUUCUAAAGAUGGGAAAAUACUAUAUUACUAUACGAUCAUGGGAUUGUUUAACAUUAAAUGCAGUCAAAAAGGCUAUACACUAGACAAACAUACACCGUCCAAGUCUGUGUAUGGUUUAGAUCGUUCGUCCUUAGGUUGUAAGUAGUCAAACAAAGGCAAGAAUGCUUUCCAAAUUAAAGGCCACAAAAGUUUUCGGGUUUUUUGUCAAGUGUAUAGUGUUGCUAUAAAGCAUGUAUAGAUUCACUAGCUGGCCGGGUUGAUUAGGAGUAAUCAUAGCUGAAAGAAUCAUGUCUUGAUGAAAAGCAAAAGAAGCGUGUCAGCUUAAUUGAUAAUUCGAGGGGUUCCAGCAGCAGAUGCAUCGUGAGCAGAUUCUUCUGAUGCUGACAAGGGGCGAAUAUUCUGCCUGAACAAUGAACAUGCAUGGCUCAUCACACGGUCACCGGAAAAAGAGAGAAGCUCAUCAUGAUAACAGGAAAAGAAGACUUUUGUCUGUACGAGUUCACCACCGUUCUUUCGCGAUCUCGUGUUAUGUUUGUUUUGCAUGUUGGUUUUUUAAUUAAUCUUACUACCAGAAUAAUAUAUAUAUAUAGAACAGCCUUAGAGCAUUUCCAUGUGUUCCCCAUAUUUAUGGUAUCUGCCAACUCCCAAAUUAAUAUGUGGAGGAAAAAAGAGAUUAUCUCUAAGAGUUUUUAUAUUUUUAUCCUAAUUCUUUUUCUUGACAUUUUUUUCCCACGCCUGGUCUCGUGUUUUCCAUCACAAACCAUGAAUUCAUUUUUGUACGCAUUUAAGCUGGUUCACUAGAUUUUUUUCUUGCGCUUUUCUUACCUGGAACCAUGUCUUUUCUUCUUUUUUUUUCCCACGUCCUUUUAUUUCUCUGGAUGCGCGCUCCUAGACGGCGCGUAUAUUCAGGCCCAGGUGAUGGUGGUUUGCCAAAUACAAAAUAUAGCGAAGAGAUAUAUAGGAAACUCUUGGAGUUGAUUUUUUCUUCUUUUCUCAAAAAAACAUGGAUGAGGAAUGAUUAUAGGUCACCCUUGGUGAUGCUCUUGUUUUGCCUUUUUUCUUUCACAUAAAUAUAUACCUAUUUGAUGAUUAUUAUUACUGUAUUAUUUUUGCUUGGCACAUACGUGUUGAGGUGCGGAAGACCUAGAUAUUUUCUUCACGCUAUGGGAUUGGUAGCUAGCGCUACUCUCUCUCUCCUAUAUAUUGUACACUGUAAGCCAAAACUGAGCAGAGAAUAUACCGAGUAAUAUUGAACACCGUUUAGUAUCAUUCAGUCCACACCUGGGACUAUAAAAUGCUGAACAAACGCGAAUACUAAAUUCUAUAGCACUUGUAUAGUGUGUUUUCUAUACUCUCGGGAGUAGUUACUCUCAUCUUCAAUAAACCAAAUUAAGCAUGUGUACAUACUAAUUUAUCAGUUUGAGUAUAUAUAUAUAUAUAUACUUAUUUAAGAUACUUCAAAUCUUAGUACGUGAUUUUUUUUUCAAAAGAAGCUAUACUUUUUAGUAUAUUACUAAGAUACCACUGCAAUACUAUAUAAAAUAAGUAUGACCUAUGUAUACUUGUAUACUUUACACAGAUAUUAUCUUAGAUGAUUUAGUAUGAUCAUAUACUACAUCUACAUACACCCUGUCGGGGAUACAGAUGGGUGUAACUACUCCCUGAAAAGUAAUAUAUAUAUAUAUAUAUAUAUAUAUAUAUAUAUAUAUAUAUAUACUGCCGAGUCGUUUUCCGGUAAUAAAGCGCUUUUCCUUACAAAAUAUUGUUGAAUUGUCACUUAAGCUACUACUACGUUUUUCCAGACCACGAUCUUGUGCGCAUUAAUGUUAGGAUAGGAAUUCUGUGUUUUCUUUUAUCCCUGUGACGUGAACUUGGCACUCUUUAUUUUUCCUCUUUACUUAUAUUAUUGGUCUUUUCCUCUUUCACUUUUCUUUUGCAAACAUUUUAUCGGACUACUUUCUGUGGCUAUCAUCCUGGAAAGACUAUUGACGAACAAAAGGCUGACCCCCACUACCACGAAAAAUAAAAAGAAUGCAAGUUGGACUAGAUUAAUAAUUGUGUUAAUUUCAUCAGGAGAUAGAGUGAAAAUGUGUCUGUUCCAAAUUUUCAAGUGCUCACAGUAGGUGCAUGAAGAAACAUAAAAGCAUUGGCAAUAUCCAAACUUGCCUAAAGGAAAUGGAUAUGUAUACACUGAAGUCCAAUUUGAUAAUAAAUUGACAGUUCCUUAAUAUACAUAUUAAACGUAACAAUUAUAAACUGACAGUUCCUUAAUACACAAUUUAAAUAUAUAAGUGAUCUAUAUAUUUUAUGUAGUAUAUAUGCUUUAUUGCUAUAGCAGUUCUCUCUGCUUCAAAUGGCAAAUUGGCAAUAUAUACUUCUAGCAUCCGUUGGGCAUAACAAAAUAGGUUUUAUGAAGUACUAGCUACAGCGACGGGCAAAACAAGUUUGCAGAGACGGGUGUAUGAAUGAAACUGGAUUGGAUACAGACCGGGUAUCAGUGAACUUGCAUUCUAUCCCAUAUUUUUUCUUGGAUCCCACAACCGGAUACGGAAAUAUCAGUAACGAAACCGUACAAUUUAUAAGAGUAUAAGUACCAAAGCGACCACUAAAGCAGUCAAGCCAUCAUACUUAAGCCCAUACAAACUCGUUAGUCUAACGAAAUCAUAACAGAUUUCAAACCAACCAAUGUACAAUCAAGAUCUACAUGAUUCAACAUAAAUAAGUCACAUGUUACAUCACAGUUCACAGAUAGUUGGCAAAUAUCUCACAUACAUCAGAGUCCACAUAGUUUACUACGAACCAAGUUUAGAAGUAGCAUAAGCAAAGUAGUUUAACAUUAACACCACACUUAGUUCAAAUACAUGACGGUUCCAUAGUCAUUCCCGUAAAAGCAUUAUGAUAAGAUAACAUAGAAGAACAUGCCCAUGAUCUAGUCCUCAUCACCAGCAGGGUGGAGGCAAUACUUUCAAUGACCCUAGUACAACACAUCAUCUACAACAAGAGACAAUAAUACCCUGAGUACAUGAAUAUCUCAGUUAGACUUAUAUGUUAUAAACCAAAAUAAUAUAACACCAAAGAGUACAUAAGGCUUUGUCGAUGGGCUAGCUUCACAACUCUUUUGCAUAAAAAGCUUAAGUGAGAUAUAUGAGAAAUAAAUCAUCUUUCUAGCAGCAAGUUAAAAUUCUCCAAGCCAGUGGCGGAACUAGGUUUUACUCAAGCCUAGGGCCUUUAAGAAGUGAAGAAUGUUGUACGAUAGAUAUAUUGAGAUGAAAACAAAUAUCUAGUAUCUAGUGAGGUGAUGUAUUUCCAUCUUUCAUGUCUUGUAAAUAUCUUUAUAAGGAUAAGACGAAAAUAUAAAUGAAAAGGUCGUAAAAAGGAUUAAUUAUUAAACAUACAUUUCUAAUCUUCCGAGGAUUCACUGAUUCCAUAAAUCCAUCAUCCAUAUCUCUAAUUUAAGUUUUUAAUUUUCAAUCCAGUUGAAAUAUUGAAUCUGAAUGAAAAUUGAGUAGAGAAAUUUAAAAAACAAAUAUAUAAUCAGGAGGGGGCGGACAGCUCACGGUCGGGGCCCAGAGGCUUGGAGCCCGGAGCCUAGGACUUGGAGAGUGGGGGACGGUGACCGGAGGCCUGCGAACACGCCUGCAUGAAGCCAUGGAGGUUGGCCGACGCGGACUUUCGAAGGGAGAGGUCGAUGGCUGACGCGGCGGCUAGAUGGGCAACUCCUCAGCUAGCGGCUGGUCAGCGGCGGUGGCGUGAGGCAUAGCAGCGACCGGUAGGGUGGCAUCUCCUCGCGUAUGGCAUCUGUCAGCAGCAGGAAAAGGUCUUCAUUAUUUGGCCAUAAAAUUACAUAGGGUGUUGGGAGUUAUUGGGCCAACUACUAGGGCCUAGGCCCUAGAGGCCUAGGCCGCAGAUCCACCCUUGCUCCAAGCUAUCCAUUCUAAAUUAGCACCUAUACUAAAGUGAUCACUUAAUUAAGAUACAAGCAUUAGUAACCAUAUUCGGUGUAGUAAAGUCAUCAUCAUCAUCAUAGCCAUUAAGUUUCAUUUAGUGUAUCUAUGUUGCCGCUGCUCAGUCAAGUACUCACUAUCCAGGACAGACGACGACUCAAAUCAUUUCCUACUAGUCGUUUCCUACCAGUUGGAGGUUUAUUCCUACCACAAACCCAGGCAUACCGCGCGAAGGCAGCCUUAGGUAUACAACUCAGGAACCAACUUCAUGGGCCCAAUCAAUGUUGUACACCCAGGAAAACUACCAAUCUGCUAGGAUGAUGAGGACUGAAACCUACCUUUGGACUCGAUCAUUGGCUCCCCACACAUCCUUACUACCAACCAAGGUGCACACUCUAAUAGAACAUCUUCGGGCCUAAGUUGAGCUACUCAGCUUCACGAUUGGAAUGACUUAUCUGGCUAGCUAAGUGCCUGACAUACGUUAAGGACGUAUAUUGCAUUGGUCCUUAAAUGACAAGGACACACAUAGAUCUAUACCCAAGAGCUCCAUGCUUUGUUGUUUCUCUAUCAUCAUCUCGCCCGUACUCUAGUUUAUUUAUCAAUACAUGGUUAUUCCCAUGAUAGCAUAUAUAGCCAACCAUAACUAGAUAUUUCUCUAUAUCUGCAGGUGACAUGGAAUCACAUAACAUCUACCGGCCUAAGCAUGGCUAAGCAUUUAUCCGAUCCUAGACCUAGAUAUGAUUCAAGCUAAGAUUUUGGACAAGGAGAACAUACAUGCAAUCAUUGUAAUGCUCCUAUAUACAUGCAACAAGGGUUCCAUACAACUCCUAUAACUUAAUGCAUCAUUACAUAUAUGUAACUCAAUUGCUUUAUAAAUAUGAGACACUUAUACUGCUUCGGGGCUUGCCUUUGAUAAAGGAGGAAGGAUGGUGGUCGAGACACUCAGGAAGAUCCUCCCUGGUAACCUCUCCUCCUUAUGGGCUUGUACUUCUUGCUCCUAGGGUGCUGGGGCUCCUCCUCCUAGUUCCCUCGCUCCUUUGAACUCCAGCAACAUUACCCCUUCAAGUACAAUAUAUGACAUCUAAGUACUUAAUCAACACACAUGAUGAUUGCACAUUGGCCAUAAGGUCCCUAUGCCACAUAGGAACAUUCCUGUAUGUCAGCCUUGAGGUUACAUCAAACAUGAUGGGUUGAUACAAGUUAAAUUACUUCUAGUUUAAGGAGUAAGUGCAUAUCUCAUCCCCGGUAGAGAAGCUUACACUUGCCAAGUUCUAGAAACGUAAGGUACAACCUAAGCUAACCACUUAACAUAAUUAGUGUAAGUGUCUAAACCAAACAUGAAGCUCAAGAAAACAAUCAAGACAUGCAUUCAUAUUACGUAACCCUGGGCUGCAAGCAAUAGCUACUUGUUUUAAUCACAACUGGUGUUAUACACAUCCAACAAAUAUGAAACAAGAUUUUCAAGAAUUCUUAAGAAAUUUUCCACAAAUCAUUUAUAAAUAUAACAGGUGAUUAACAAUGUAGCCUAAUUAAACAGUUAAGUUUCUCAAAAUUGUCCAAAAAUUUCUGAGAGCAAGCACUUCACAAGACCAACUUGGAACAGCUAUAACUCUCAAACCAUAAAGCCUGCUGCCAUGAAAAUUUAACACAAGCUACAUAAGCAAAUUAUCUACAACUUUAUCAAUAUAGAUUCACAGCAAACUUUUGUUUUCUCAUGGAAUUUGAUUCACCACAGAAGCUGUUACAACAGCCAUUGGUUUGACUUACAGAGCAAAAUAAUAUUCUACUAUAUAUAAGAUAUGGAAAUCUGGGCACAACCAACUAUACUAACAGUUUAUACAUAUCAAAUACAUGUUAGAAAACAAAAGGAUUGGAUCCAUACAAAACAUUUAUAUGCUUUUAUUAAUCCCUUUUUAUUUAUUAGGCAUAUCAAUGUUAAUUAGGAAACAUGUAUUUCCUACGCACAUAAAAAUCUAAGAAAACUACAGCAGCUCACCCAUGGUUCCAAUAGUCUACUGCAUAAAUUUCAUAGCAAUGGAACAUGCAUAACAACCUAACAAGCUAGAAAGGCUUAUAAUUGCAUUAAUAGUUUAGCCUAUUGAAAUAUGUCAAACAACAGAAUUCAUAUUUUUCUUAGCUUCAUCAUAACAUAAGAAUACUGUAAUAAAAUUUUCAUCCUGAUAAGUUACAUACUUUAUGCAAGUUAAAUGGUGAAUAUUUAUGCAAGUUAAAUGGUGAACAUAUUUUUCAAUCUUAUUCACUGUAAGUUCAUUAUUUUCUCAGCUACUAAUGUCAAAACAUGACUAGCAGAAGUGGAAUCACAUUUUUAGCACAUUCCUAGCUUGAGCUAUGCAUCUUCUAAAUUAAAUAAAGAUUUAAACAAGAUUAAAAUAGAUAAUUAGGGAACCAUUAUUCUACUACAAAAACAUAGCAUGUUUCAUAUUUUUAAUAAAUACUAGCCAACCAGAGGAGCACAAAAAAUUUGAUUCACCAAAUUUGGACAUCUACAACUCUAGAUAUGAUUUUCUAAAGUUUAACCAAUUUCUAGAAAAGAAGUAAAGAAAACCUAAAUCUACAGCCUCUGAUGUGUGGGACCCAUGGUCAACUCGACUCUACUUGCCAGUUAGCGUGGGAUAGAGGACGGCAUUUGACUAGCAGUUUCUAGCAGAUGGCGAGAUCUCUGGUGGUAGCAUCUCCGCUGUUGAGUUCCCCUCGUCGAUCCGCAUCGAUUGGGGUAGGUGGUUGGACCAAGGGUUCACUAGAGAGGGCAUGUCGACGGCCAUGGCGGACAGUUGAGGGUGUCCAGUGGUACACCGAUGCUCUUGUCGCACUCAAUUUUGAUGAUAAAAUUAAAUACAUUAUCUUUUGUACGCCUAGAAAUCAAUCACACAUAAGCCAAUAAAUUAUAGAGUACCAUCACAAGUGUUUAUUACAUAACGAAUAAUAUUUGUUGUAAUUCUUAACAUCGCUACCCAAGAUGGUAACAACUCUAUAGAGGCCUGUGGGUUAUUUCUUAUGUCUAUUAAAUUAUUCCGCAAACUCACAUAAUAUACCGAUGUGGCAUUUCACCGAGGAUGAUUACUCCACGGUAUUAUUAUUUGUUUUAUCCCAAGGGAAAGCGGUAACUAGAAAUGCUACUAUGAAAGAGAUCCCUAUCCCAAUUUCGAACAACUAGUGUAGAGUGGGAGAUAAUCGAUGGGUAGAAGGAAGGUGAUGAUUCAAAGAUAAUCUCUACAACUAAAAAUUAUGGAAAGGACCCAUCUACCAUACCCAUGGUGAAGCCACAACUCCCAUCCCUUUUAGCCAUGAUAGGCUAUCCCAUCAACCUAGGCCCCACUCACCCAUGGAUGCAAAAUUGUUUUAGCGAAUUUAAAAAAAUCAUAACUUUUAAACCGAAGAUAUAAAUUAAAUUUCGAUUGCACCAUUAAAUUUCUCAUAACAAAUUCUUCAAAACAAGAUCACACAUGGAUAUAUUUAGAUAAAAUUUUAUUAAUUAAUAUUUAUCUCUACAACUAAAAAUUAUGAAGAGGAUCCAUCCACAAUUUUUUAUCCCUUUGGUGGUCUUUUUUAUUGCGCGAUGACACGCUAUCUCAUCAACAUACGCCACACUCACCUAUGCAUGCAAAAUUGUUUUAGCGAAUUAAAAAAAGUCAUAACUCCUAAACUAGAGAUAUAAAUUAAAUUCUGAUUGUACCAUUAAAUUUCUUAUAACAAAUCCUUCAAAACUAGAUCACACAUAGAUAUAUUUAGAUAAAAUUUUAUUAAUGAAUAUUUAUCUUAUAAAGACAAAAUUAUUAAGUAGAAAUAAUAUUCCAGGUUCAACAGAUAAUGUUCUGUCUUUGUAAAAAAUGUUAUCGAUUUAGAAGAAUAGUAUUUUGGUUUUAGGUUUAUGAAACUGAUAUUAUAAUAUACAUAAAAAUACAUAAAUACGUGACAUAGAUAAAAAUAAUAAAAAAAUCUAGAGUAAAAAGCAUAAGAAAAAAGUAAAAACACAAAAUGGAGAAAAAUUUCAAAUAAUGUCAAAGGGUUACUUUUUAAAUAUCAUAAAUAUAUUUAUAGAAUAUUAACAUCAGUAAAUACAUCAUAGAAAAUCAUUAAAUAUAUUAUAGAACAUCACAUCUAUUAUAGAUUACAUGUAUACUAAGUGAACACCGUAAGAAACAUCAAAGAACAUCACAUAUAUAUUACGUAAACAUAACAUGACACAAUAUAGAACACUAAAUAUAUACUACAUAAAUAUCACAUGUAUAUAGAAAACAAAAAUAAAAAUAAAAAUACUAAGAAUAAAAUAUAAAAACAGACAUAAUUAACAAACGAUAAAAAGUGCAUAGAGCAAAUAAAAUUAAUGAAUAAUUUAAAUAUGGAUAAAAAUAAGAUUAAAAGGAAAUAAAAUAUAAAAUAAGAAUGAAGAAACAUAGAAAUCUAAAAAGAAAAAAGAAAAACAAAUGGAAGCGAGGAAGAACAAUAAAAAUAAAACCAAAAGAAAAAUAAAAUAAAAGGUAAAAUUAAAAUAAGAAAAGAAUAAGGAAAGGACAGAAAAUAAAAUAAAAUCAAAAAACAAAAACUGAAAAGAAAUAAAAAAGGAAGAAUAUAGACAGAAAAAAUAAAAUAACAAUGAAGAAACAUAGAUAAAACCCGUAACAGCUUACAGGCAUUAACCUAGUUGAUUAAGAUAACUAAAAGAUAACUAGUGUAGAUAGCUUGGUGGGAGGACAACGAGUGAGAAUGGUUCCUGUGAUUCUAACUCUACUUCCAUGUUCUAAUCUAAUCAAACAGUAGGAACAACUAGGAUUGCUACCUUACUACUUGGUUGAUAGGGAUAGCCAAGAAAGCAAGAGAUAGAACUCCUACUAAAGCGACUAUACUCUUACGGACGCCUUGCCUUUUAAGAACAAGUUUUGUAACACCCUAAAAAUUGUUUUCUUGGAAAAUAGGACUAAAAUGAUUUAUUUAUGAAUUUUUGUGCUCAUGAAACAUAGAAAAAUAAUAUUUUCAUUUAAAUAAAAUUAAUCAUAGGACUUAACAACUUGUUGUGCAUUCAUGCUGGAGUAUAUUCAAUUUAGUCUUGUUGACUUUUGGUUUGAAUUUAAUUGCAUUAAAAUUCUCUUCAAAAGAAAGCUUUAGAAAAUAAAAUGGAAAAGGAAAAAAAAAGAAAAAAAAGGGAAGCACCCUGUACUUCCCCUCUCGGCCUAGCCCCGUUUCUUCACCCCCCCGCGACCCAGCUUUCCCUGCCCCGGCCCAAUUCGGUGCGGCCCAGCAGCGCAGGCGCGCUCCCUUUCCCCUCUCGCUUGGCCCGCUGACGGCCGGGACCCCGCACUUCUCUGACUGACAGUCCGGCCCCACGCGGCAGCGUCCCACUCCUCCUUUCUAUCUUCUUCCCCUACCGUGAAGGACUGGGACUCUGCCGAUGGAGAGCACCCUCGUCCCGGAUUCCACGGGAUACGGUUUCCUUCACCAUAUCGCAGCUAUAUGGGGUCCCGGCUCUCUCUCCGUGAUUCAGUUUCGUCGCCGUGGAUGCCCAGCCGCACGCUGCGAGCCGCUAAAUCCCACCGUAGAGCAGAUCUCACCCGCCGCCGUGGUGUACAUCCCCUGCUGCACGAAGGUCGCCAACAAACCGUGUGCCGGGCUUCGCAGCUAGGAGACGGAGCUUCCGAGCCCCUUCCCUUGUUCUCUCCCGAUCCCAGUAGCCCGUGCGAUAUCGCCGGACAUCGCAAGGGGUUCUCGCCCGCGGAUCCGCACGGCACGUCUUCCCCGAGGUCAAUCCGCGCCUUGAAAACCCCUACGUGAGUUCGCUUGAGUCCCCGUUUCGUCCCCGUGCCCUUGGUUUGGAGUUUUGCCCACCGUAGUGCGCGUUCCACGUCCCCGGCGGUGCCCCAGCCAUGGCACCACCGCGGGGUGCCUGUUCCGGUGAGGCGUCCGGCCGGCAUCUCCCCCAGGCGCAAUCUCGACCGUCCAUUCCUAAUCCAAGAGCCCAGAUCGGCCGAUACCCUUUCAGCUGUAAAAUUUGCUAAAGAGCCCCUGUAAGAUCUGAGUAAUAACCCGUCAUCCAAAGCGCCCUGGGGAAAUACAUGUUUCAAUUCCGAAAGCGUAUUCCUUUUAGUUUGGUUCAAAAUACGUUUUCAGUAAUUACAAGUUUGCCACUGAAAUUGUUUUACCCAUAAAAUAUUCAUUAUAACUCUGUUUUUGUCCAUUCAAAUUUCGUUAGAUUCGUAUUUACAAGCUCUACAUGUUAGAGGUAUUAGUUUACUGUUUUGAAACUUUUUAAUUUCAUAGUAGCAUUUAAUGAAUUAUUUCUCUAUAGGAAAUCUUGGAAAAUUCAUAACUUCUCCGUUUUAAUUCCGUUUUUCGUGAACUUUACGUUUGUGUGAUCGUAGCGCUGCGUAGAACAUUUUGAUAAAUUUUUACACUUGUUUUACCACUGUUUGGUGUAUUGUUCUAAUUAUUGCUUGUUUGCUUCGUGUAUGAUUGUCUACAUUUGAAUGCGUGUUGUUGAUUGAUGUUUGGGAAUAGACGGUGAGCCGUACGUUGGUGAUCAAGACCAAGCCUUUGAAGACCAGCAGGCUCAGGAGAGCUUUGUUCAAGGCAAAUAUAACUUGGGAUCAUCCUUGUUACCUAUACACAAUUAAUACAAUAUUUAUCAUAUGCAUGUGUCCACCUUGAUGACCAUAGUAAAAUCAUAGAUGAUUGUUAUCCUGAAUUCCUUGUUACCUAUUUGGAUAUGCAUUUGGGUAGUUCGUGCUAGUGCUUGAUUAUUAAUCCAUGAUCUUGUAACAUGAAUAUUUGAAUACACAAUAAACAAUAAAAUAAGCUUUCUAGCAACUUGAACAUAAAGGGUGGAAAGAACUCUGGCUUUUGCUGGAUUGAUCUUGACCCUCCAUAAGGACUUAUCCCUUGGCAAAAGCUGGGACAACUCGUACAACCAUGAGGGCUAUAUGGCUCUGGCUUUAGUCAAGUAUGAGUAAGCUUUUCUAGCUUGAUAGAGGUUACCCAAAAGGGCGAAGGGGCUGAACCGUUUUGGGUAUAGUGCUAGCCCCUGUCCUUAUGUGUAUAGGCUGCGCGUCAUUGUGCCAUUUGGAAGGGGGUAUCUAUAUCUGCGCGCAAAGGAAACAUUUGGCCCUAACUUGUUAGACGAACCAUUGAAAGACUUCAUAGUGAACCCUGCCGGCUUUCCUUGGAAGUGAGCUAAGAGGUCGACGGGCCUCGGCCGAAGGGGUAAAUCACGACUCAUGGGUAAAGAUGUACAACCUCUGCAGAGUGUUAAAUCUGGUAUACUAGCCGUGCCCACGGAUACGGGCGGCUCGAAAAACUGACGGAAUAGAUGGACACUGAUGAACAUGAUUAAUAAUGAUAAAUGAUGGUUUAUUAUGUUGUUUAUAUGUGUUAUUCUUAAUUCUUGUAUACAUUGAUCAUGUUGUUAUGGGAUUUAAUUAUGCUACAUUGACAAUUGCUAUCUAAAUAUAAAUAUGCUAUCUACAUAUAAAAGAAAAAUGCAGUCAAACCAGUGUCAGCUAUUUGAGCCUCAUGAACCCCUGGUUAUACUUGUUGAGUACGAUAUGUGCUCACUCUUACAAUUUCCCCCACACCUCAGGAGAAGUUUUGGGCUUGUGAUCAACCAGUCAGUUGGAUCCUGUAGAGAGAAGUUAAUACCCAAAGUUGGAGCUGUCGAUCCGUGGUUUGCUAUUAAAGGUUAUCUCUUUUAUGCUAAGUACGUUAUAUAUUUAUGCAUUGUCUUUUGAUAUUACCCCUUAUUUGUAGCUAUAUGCGAGAUUUGCCUUUUAGAACUCACAUAUGGUGCAUAUCUGGUUUUGAUCUUAAAAUCAGGUAUUACAAGUUUGUACGUGAGGAGAAAUCCUAAUGCCAAGCACGACCUAUCACGUCCUGCCAAUGCGCUCCUACUGUCCAUUCAAACCAGCAGCCACCAAUGGUGAGCCUUAGCCUAAGCACUGCGCUUACACUAACUCUCAGUACUCUAGCUGAUUAUAGGAUACAACUAGAGCACCUUUCUAUAGGCAAUGGUAAACAACCAAAGAGUUGGUUACAGGAUCACAAUCUAGCGUGUAACUACUAUAAGACAAUAGAGCGCUACAAUACUAUGACAGGAAUAAUAUUGCACAAACUAAAUACUUACAAAAGUAGAAGAAUAAUAAUAUAUUAAAUAAGAAAAGUCUCAGGAGAGAAAGAUACAAGAGCAAUACCAGACUGUCCAAAAGACGACUCCGGAGACCUCGCGCUUUUCUUGACUGAACUCUAACACCCACACUGGACUAGACUACUACUAAUGAACUAAGAGAACCUUUUUGUCUCUUGAAUCCCUUGAAUCACAACCUUGAGAGGGUGGAUACAACCUCUAUUUACAGGGAGAGUAGAGGGGGUGCCAUGUCAUCAAUCCGUGUGCUCCCCAUCUCUCUACCCUUGGAUGCACCAUCAUUGAAACCACCAUAAAGGGACAUCCAAGAUCUAACAUCAUGAAUGGAGGCAUGCUUAGAGUUGGUGGAGUAAUGCUUGAGGUCGAUGCUCAUAGAGUGGGGGUCGGGUGACCCCUCCUUGACAGGGUGGACCCCCUUGUGGCCUUCCCCUAGUGUCCCCACACUACCUUGCUUCACAAUAUAGAGAAACAAAUGCAAAGGGUAAACCCCCUAUAGCUAUGUUGACGAUAGAUAACUCCUAAUUUUAACCGUCAACUAAACAUGAAACUAGACAUAUAUGCAAACACCUAGUAGAUAUAGGAUUAUCACCAACAAAAUUCCACAAGUUUUGGUGAAUGUCUAUUUCUGCAGGGUGUCAGAUGAAAACAACCAAAGAUGGUCCACAUGUUAGAUUUACAUAGAGAGAAUACCGUGAACUACAACAUAGGAACAAUCUAGAAGACUCGAUGAAAGCCCAAGUUUGGUUUUGGUAAUUAAUGACACCAAGUUGCUAAUGCCUUGUGUUUAAGUGACUUGAGUUAGGCAUAGCAACACAUGAGAUGAAGGUGCAUGGUGGCAUGGAAAGGUGGCCACGUGAUCACAAAGGGAUGAAACAUGAAUGGAAGAUCAUGGUGAUAGAUGAGGAGUAAAGUCAUCAAGGCAAGGUAUAAACAUAGGGUUUUACUUUUGCCGGUCUAUGUUGAGUACAGAAGUGAUUGACCAGAUUUAGGAUAGAUAGCCGACUAUCAAGAGGGGAAAUCACGGUCAUCUCUCAAAUCAAGUGCUACUAGGUCCAUAUCUUGAACAUAUGUAUUAGGAUCUAGUAAAGUGCUAACUUAACUCCUUUGAUGAAAAUGUUUGUGGAAAGCUAACACACAUGCACUUUGGUGGUGAACACUUAUUAGUGUUAGCACAUUUGCAAAGGAGGUAGAGUUCCUAGAGUUGAGAGGGGUUUCGGCGCUUUUGAGAAAAAUAAGUGUAUAUUUUCUAUUGCUCGGUGGGAAAUUUGGAGAAGUUGCGAGAACCGGACGCAGAGCGCAGAGGCACCGGACGAUGGCCUGAGCGUCCGGUGUGUUGUUAGUGCUUGACCCUAUUUGUGUUGAGCACCGAACACGAGGUGUUCCCUAUUCAUGUGUCUGGUGUGGCCUGACUUAAGACGAGGGUAUCUGACUGAGAGCACCGGAUGCUCUGAGUGCGUCCGGUUUGAGGGGGUUUUGCAACCCUCUCUGCACACGAGUCCGGUGAGCACCGACGCGUCCGGUGCUCCGAGUCUAGUAAGGUCAAGCGUUUGUAGACCUGUCUGCGCAUGAGUUCGGUGAGUACCGGACGCGUUCGGUGCUCACUUGGUCGCGUCCAGUGGUCUGCAGGUGACCGUUAGAGAUUGACGUGCGAGAUUCAAAGGAGGACACGUGGCCAACCACAGAGCACCGGAUGUAGGGGGCCGAGUGAAAGUGGCCAACGGCUCUUUUGUUGAGGGGCUUAUAAAUAGAAGGUGGCCGGCUUUGGGAGGUUUGCUCUUGCACAUUUGAUUACUUGAGGCAUACAUUGAGCUAGAGAACACUCCCUCCAUUCAUCUCCUUACUUGAUUGCUAAUCCUAGUGAGAUUGACUAAGAUUGAAGUGCAUUGCUCUGAGAGUUGCAUUUAGUGGCGCAUGAUUCUUGAGUUUGCCAUGGAUUUCUUGUUACUCUUGGGUGUUUCCCGACACACUAGAUGGCUUGGAGUAGCGUAGGUGUUGAGCUCGUGAUUGGAGAUUGUUUCGAGCCUCACCAAGUGAUUUGUGAGGGGUUCUUGAGCCUUCCCUAUGGGAGAUCGCAAUUGGCUACUCUAGUGGAUUGCUCGUGGCUUGGAGGAUCCCCAUCUUGUGAGUGGAUGUGCCGCACCCGCUGAGGGUUUGGCUUUGGAUUGCCAAUUAGCUUGUGAUCUAUCAAGUGGGUGUAUCGCCACAAUGAGGACUAGCUUGCUGAGAAGCAAGUGAACCUCAGUAAAAAAUCUUGUGCCAUCUCUUAUCGAGGCUUCUCUUGUAAUUGUGAUUGAUUGAUUGGUUAUAUAUCUACUCUACAACAUUGGUAUAACAAUCACUUCCCUCUCAUUUACUUAUGUGCAUACCUUGCUAGUUGCGUAGCUUGUUUAGCUUAGCUAUCUUGUUUAGGAGUGUAGCUAGCUUCUAGUUGUGCUUUCUUGUUGUGGCUUAGUGUUUAGCCUUCUUUCUAGACUUGUGUAGGUGGCUUACAUAGCUUAGUUGUGCUAGUGUUAGAAUAGCUUCGCCACUUAUUUUACUAACUCACUUGUUCAUUAAAGUUUGUAGAAAAUUUAAAUAGGCUAUUCACCCCUCCUUUAGCCAAUUGAACCACUCACUCGAGGAGGCUCUAGACCAAAUGGGAGCCCAAACCAGCUCGGGAGCUAGGCGGCCACCCAAGGGUAGGGGCAGGCAGCCGAGCAGCUCCACCAAUCAUGUUCAACAUGGCAGAUCCUGUCUCCAUCACCUUUGAGGAGAAUUAUUGGCCAUCCAUUAAGGUCAGUUUGAUCCAAGGGCUGUGUUGCCUCCUAGGGGGCUAUAUAAGCAGACCCCUGCCCCCUGGAUCAGGGCCAAUUUUGAAACCCUAAUUCAUAUUUUCUAGAGAGAAUUAGCUAGAGAGGGGUCCGUUAAAUGGAUCUAUCUCUUUAGUGGUUUUAGCAACAAGAGAGACUGAGACAGUAUAGGGUGGAGAUAGAAGUGGAGAAAGCCCAGCCUGUCGGUGUCUUCUUUCUUGCAUCUAUGGGAUCAAGUCUCUUAACCCAAGGCUUGGUUCUAGAAUCAUUCGGCAAUUUGACUUCUAAUACUAGUAAUUUUAUUGUUUUUAUUAUUCUUUGGUUUAGGGGUUUACUUUAUUUGGUUGCACAUGGAAAUAGAGUAAUUAUUCCUAGCAUAAGCGUGGUGCUUGUGCUAGGAAUACUCGUAGAUGCUCCCUAUCGAGCCGGAUUUGUGAUAACAUUGGGCGGAAGUGACAGUCCACUUGGAGUCUCCAUAAUCCACGUAUCGUCAGGAGGUAAGGUAGGAAAUAGUGUGUCAAGGUUAAGUGUUGGUACCCCUUAUCUUAUAAUUAUAAACAUCAUUUUAAUAAAUAAAACAAAUAGAUGGUAGGGCUUUGAACUAACCUUUCCACAAGUUUUGUUGCAAAUAUCAAUUUCAGGUAUGACACAUGGAAAGGCGCAAAAGACAAGAGAAAGCGCACUUCAAGAAAGCAUAUUCAGAAAAGGCGCAAAUCAAAUAUAAAUGGAAAAGCACACAAAAACACUGAACUGGAUCCAUCCGUAACCACGGGAAGGAUCAGGGCCCAAAGACGAACUGACCACGCGAAGACGGUGGCCAGGGGGCCCACCAGUGGUGCGGGCGCACCCUAGUGCGGGUGCGCCCCCCGUGGCGGCAACUCGAUCCCACCUUUUUCAAGCGGUUGCAUGGCGGCAUGCAUAGGACGAUUUCACCUCCUACCAAAUUUAGAUCGCCAUGAACCGUCCUUGUUGGGCUAUAAAUAGAUGGCUCCACACCAUUCAACACACACCAUCAUUUGGAGCAAUACACCUCACAUUUCUACACUUGUUCUUUAGUUUAGAUUCAAUAGUAGAGCUAGGCAAAGCUAGCAAGGAGAGCUUGUCUCCUAGGCUGAUCUUAGAGCUUCUUGGUAUGAAUACAAUUCAGUUCUCCUCCAUGUGCAAGUUCUUAUUGUUGAUAUUUGGGAACGCAAUAAGGAAUUGAUCCACAAGCGCACGGAUAUCGGUGAGAACUUCACCUGGGAGGUUAUCUAGAGUAUCGUAUUUAUAUUUUUACCACUAGGAGAAAGAGUGCAUCUGACUAACCUAGUCUAUUACCACUAACCUUUAGGCUACAAAGAAUGUUUCUCGAUGUGAGUGAAAUAUAAAGAGGACUGCAACCGUAAUCUCUUUCUAACCUUGGUGUGGAUGAUCUACUAUUCUAUUGGGGAAGCUUACAGAAUCUAGACAUCACAGAGGAUAUUCGACCGCACCUAUAAACCGUAUCCUUCCUGCUAACGAGAUAUGGUCUGUAAAGGUAACUCAGAAAUGUCACGUUCCUCGCUACUACCAUGGUCUAGCUAGUCAGGGGAUAUCUAUGAGUAUUCUAGCCCAAACACCACGUCUACGCUAGAGAUGAUUACUCUAAACUCUACGCGAAGAGAUUAAAGUAAACUCAUAAACCAAAGAACAAUAAAGCAAGCACUUACUAGAAUUUAGAAGUCGAAAUACUGAAGAAUCCAAGGUGCAAGCCUCAGGUUAGAAGACUUGAUCCCGCAGGUACAACCUCGGAGUAGACACCGACAGGCCGGGCUUCCUCCGAUCUACACCUCCACUCUAUCUCGCUCAAUCUAGUAGAAACUAGAAGAACUAAUUCUACUUACAUUGGAUGCUAAGCCCAAAGUUUAUUUAGAGGAGAGGUUAUCCUUCGAGGGCACCUCUCAACUCUAUGAUGAACUUGUCUCCUCUAGGGGGCAGGGGGUCUGCUUAUAUAGUCUCCUCUGGUAAACGUGGGCCGUCGGAUCAAACCGACAUUGAUUGAAUGGUUAUCCUUGAUCCUUUAGGUCGGUGGAGCGUGAUCCGCGAAUUUGGACGUGAUUGGGCAGAACUCCUGGACGGGCGCCCUAGGGGGGUGCGCGGGCGCCCUGCCCCGGGCCCGAUUGCCUUCCCGUUCGUUCCCGUGGCUUCUGGAGUCUUCGAGAUGGUAGAAAAUUGCGCGGUGUGUUAAUAUCUCUAUGUAAUCCCGACAUGUGGCCCUUUCUUCCUUAUUUCCUGAUAACCCCCUGCAGAAAUAGAUAAACAACAAAACUCGUGGAAUUCUGUCAGAUCAAACCCUAAUUCUAGGUGUUGUUUGCAUAUUGGUCCUUUCCCUUGUUUAUUUGAUAAUUAAAAUUGAUACUUAAGAACCGUGAACAAACACCCCCGUACUUAGGCUUUUACUCAUCCUCGAGAAAAGGAUGGUUAAGAAAAAAUAUCUGGGGUUAAAAUAUUGUAAAGCAUUUUCUUCAUACCUGCAGGAUGUAAAAAUCUACUGUGUACCGUAGUCAGGGAAAUAUAUGGUCUAGAGUAGAGAUCCUUUCUUCUUAAUCCUGCUACUUGGAGUUUUUGUAUGUUUUUUUUUUUGGAAAAAGAAUUUUAGCAUACUUUUAUCCUCAUAGGUUCUCUCAGAUCACUCAUUUAUCUUUUAUAUAUCUCACUCAGGCUGUUUUAAUUUGCAAAAAUUCUCAAGCAUACUUACUUUGCAUUGCUUGCCUCAUCAAAACAGGAUCCGAGGAGAGGCAUGCCUUACUCUUAGAUCAAAGACCUUGAAAAUUUAAAACUUGUCAACUCUUGCUGGCAUAUUGCUUAUUGGAGGGACCAUGAGUUUUCUUCUUUUUUCAGGUGGAUACCGAGGUACCCCUAAUUCUACUACCGGACACUUGUCCAUUUUUUCCUUGAGGUUAUCGAGCACUUGCUCCUUUUUAUUUCCUCGAAAUAUCCUUAUUUUUGCAUAUCCCAUGCCUCUAAUGCAAUAAUACUUCGGAAGAUUCAAUCUUUCUGAAUAAAUGUCUUGAUCCUUAGAGCAUGAUAAAUCUCUCAACAAGGGUCUAACUCAUUUUAAACAAACUUAAUACAGAGCAGAUAGCUUUUAUAAGUAUUAAUUGAUAUUUUCAGGUUUAUUAGGCAUAUAAAACACUGAGGAUGGUAGCUAGAAUUUUUGAAUGUUUCUAAAAUAAAUUCUCCAAGCAACAAUGAUAUCAAGAAUAAGGUACUCAUACUCUACCAUCUCACAAUUCCACAAUGACUUAAGUAACACAGGGUUUUAAAAUUAUUUUCAAUAAUUGCAAGUUUUCAGGAAAUAUCACAGAGUGAGAUAAAUCAUGAUUAGAAACAUUUUAAUUUAUCAUGUCGGAGACAAUAUUCUGCAUAAUCAAAGAUGUAUGUGUAUGUGUAAAGUGUGCAGAGUAUGUACCUGAAUCGUGGAGUGGUGUAGUCGAAGUACGUUUGGCAUGUCGAGGGAUCUCCCCCAUACUUGUUUUUCUGCUUUCUUGUAUAAAAAUAAAGUAGAGACACACAAGACAUACUAAUAAUAAUAAUACUCUUUAUUAAUCUUGAGGCAUUUAUUACAAAUGACUAGUAGCAAACUGACGAUAAUAGUAAAUCUAAACCAAAUUUAAAGAUAGAUAACUAAGAUGCAUUGCCUCAAGAUCUAAUCUAGAUAACUUAGCGGCGCUCUAACUCCCUGAUCUUCUUAUUGGCACUAGCAAGAUCAUGCCUAAGGCCUAGUAUAACGGUGUUGUGGUUAGAGAGCUGCCUAGUGAUGGAGUUAACCGAGGACUGGAGGUCUAUGAUGACCCUGUCUAGCCUACGGACGUCCUCAUCGAUAUCUACUAUAGUCAUGCGACGCUUAGGAGGUGUCUCAAAAGCAUUGACAGCGUGCUUUGGGGAUGCCCUUGGAGGGAUGAAACGGACUUUGGCUGCUCUAAUCCCCUCAAAGUAAGGCCUCUCUUCCUCCAUAGUGUAGCGGAUGUUGCUGAUCUUGCCGCUCCGGUUGGUCUUCAAUCCAACGACCCUCUCAUUGGGUCUAGGUGGAAGGAUCCUAGUGCCGACUGGCACUUUGACGGUGGUCUCCGUCUUGGCUGGCGGUCCCUUGAGAAGUAGGGGCUGUGGCGGUGCGGUGAGAACUGGUUGAGCAUGGUAGGAUUGGGCAGAGCUACGCUAGCAUAAUGGCAUGGCUUCUAGCUGUCGCUCUAUGUUGGCCGGGACGAGAGCGUGGGCGUCGGGGUCUUCCUUGGGCUUCAUGUUAAGGUUGAAGGGGACGACUUCUCAAUCGUCGUGGAACUCUUCGGCCAUUGGAGCAGCGAGGGACUAAUCAAGUUCUAAUUGAAGAAGAAGAGAAGGCUUGAAAAGAUUGGUGUUUGAAAACUGACGUCAGGGGUCAGUUUAUAUAGGGGUCAAAAAGUGCCUCUAGGGGUUGUUCGGGUUACUCUAGCCGCCGUGCGUGCGAAACUUUCCAUCUGUAUGAUUAUUUGGUUAACCAUAAAUGUGUUUGCCGUGACGGAGGAGAUCAGGACCGAGAGGGGCACGGGCUGGGCGCCCACCCUCUUCACCAGGGCACCCGCCCUGUGCUUGGCCCCUCUGUGGGCCCGCUUCGUCGAGCGUGUUUCUAGAUGCAGAACUUAUUAGGAAAAUAUAUGUAUGGCCCCAAAACAUCAGAUUAAGAAGGUCAGGCUCUAAUUUUCCAUAGGAAGGUGAAAAUGGAUCACGUCUAUCUCUUCUAAUUCUUUAUUGGACUCUAAAAAUAAUUUAAGACGUUGACCAUUUACCUUGAAUAACGUACCUUCGUCAUUUUGAAGUGUGAUAGCUCCGUGGGAUGAUGAAUUGAUUACCUUGAAUGGUCCUUCCCAUUUACUCUAGAGUUUUCCAUGCCCGAAAAGCUUCACCCUGAAUUAAAAAGUAAUACCUUAUCUCCGGGUGCGAACUCCUUCUUCUUGAUCUUCUUGUCAUGCCACCUUUUGACUCUUUCUUCAUAGAUCUUCGAGUUGUGAUAUGCUUUCUCUCGCCAUUCUUCCAAUUCUGAUAAUUGCAUUCUUCUAUGAUCUCCAGCGACAUCUAGGUCCAUAUUCCAUCUCCUUAUGGCCUAGUGUGCUUUGAACUCUAAUUCAACAGGUAGGUGGCAAGUCUUCCUGUACACCAAUUGGUAUGGGGACAUUCCUAUUAGGGUCUUGUAUGCUGUCCGGUAUGCCCAGAGUGCAUCGGGUAAUUGGUCUUUCCAUGCCGUUCCCAUCUCAUUGACUGUCUUCUGAAGAAUAUUCUUGAUUUGUUUAUUGGAAGUCUCUGCUUGGCCACUUGUCUGAGGAUGGUAGGGGGUAGUGAUGUUGUGACGGAUUCCAUGUCUUGAAAGAUAUUGCUUGAAGCGUUUGUCGAUGAAGUGUGCUCCUCCAUCACUUAUCACUACUCUGGGGACUCCAAAUCUUGGAAAUAUAACUUCUUGAAACAUCCUAUUUGAACUGAUGUUGUCGGCGUGCUUGCAAGGUAGUGCCUCUACCCACGUGGAGACGUAGUCAACUACCACCAAGAUGUACUCACACUUCUUUGAUGGGGGAAAUGGACCCAUAUAGUCUAUUCCCCAGACAUCAAAGAGCUCAAUCUGAAGGUUGUUGGUGAGUGGCAUGGCAUCUCUCGUGUUUAUGUUUCCGUGCCUUUGACAUAGCCCACAUCUUCUGAUAUAUUGCUUCGUGUCUUCAUACAUUGUAGGCCAGUAGAAUCCACAUUGCUAGAUCUUUGAAUGUGUACGGAAUGCUCCAUAAUGACCUCCAUAUGGUGAUGAAUGACACCUGUCGAUGAUCUUCUGUCCUUCCUCAGUGGUCACAUAUCUCCUGAGUAAGCCAUCAGAGCAUACUCGGAAGAGGUAUGGCUCAUCCCAUAUAUGUGAGUGACUUUCUUGAAAAAGCUUCUUUUUGUUUGCUCCUGGUGGUACAUACCCUGAAACCAUAAAAUUAACAAUAUCUGCAUACCAGGGGUCAGACCUGUUAAUCCCUUAGAGCAUGUCGUCCCGGAGUGAAUCAUUGAUGGGGGUUUCCUGUGGAUUCUUAAAAUACAUUCUAGACAAGUGAUCAGCAACAGAGUUUUCUACUCCCUUUUUAUCUUUUAUUUCUAAGUCAAAUUCUUGUAGUAAUAAGAUCCAUCUAAUCAGGCGAGGUUUAGCAUCUUUUUUAGUGAGCAAAUAUUUUAGUGCAGCAUGAUCAGUGUAAACAAUUAUUUUAGCUCCAACUAAAUAAGAUCUAAAUUUAUCAAUGGCAAAGACAACAGCCAGAAGCUCAUUUUCAGUGGUUGCAUAAUUAAGUUGAGCUCCCGUCAAAGUUUUACUGGCAUAAGCAAUUGCAUUAUGCUUCUUAUUUUUAGUUUGUCCCAAAACUGCCCCCACAGCAUAAUCACUAGCAUCACACAUAAUUUCAAAAGGCAACGACCAAUCAAGGGGUUGAAUGAUUGGUGCAGAGAUGAGUGCAUUCUUUAAUAAAUUGAAAGAUGUUAUGUAUGCAUCAUCAAAUUCGAAAGGAGCAUCCUUGGCUAGCAAAAGAGUAAGUGGUCUAGCAAUGAAUGAAAAAUAUUUUAUGAAUCUGCGAUAAAAACCAGCAUGGCCAAGAAAUCUUCGAAUUCCUUUUAUAUUCACAGGUGGAGGUAGUUGUUCAAUUACUUCAAUUUUAGCUUUAUCUACCGCAAUACCUCUUUCAGACACUAGGUGUCCCAGCACUAUUCCUUCCCUAACCAUAAAAUGACAUUUUUCCCAAUUAAGGACUACGUGCUUUUCUUCACAUCUUUGCAAAGCCUUGUCUAAGUUUUCAAGACAACUAUCAAAAGCUUUUCCAUAAACAGAGAAAUCAUCCAUGAAAACUUCCAUAAUCUCUUCAAUCAUAUCAGAAAAUAUAGACAUCAUGCAUCUUUGAAAAGAAGUUGGUGCAUUACAUAACGCAAAAGACAUUCUACGGUAAGCAUAAGUUCCAUAUGGGCAUGUAAAAGUGGUUUUGCUUUGAUCAUCGGGAUGGAUCGGGAUCACGUGAUACCCUGAAUAUCCAUCAAAGAAACAAAAGAACGAAUGGUUCACUAAUCGCGCUAGCAUCUCAUCUAUGAAAGGUAAAGGAAAAUGAUCCUUUCUCGUGGCUUUGUUUAGUUUUCUAUAGUCUAUGCACAUCCGCCACCUUGUGAUGGUGCGUUGCAGAAUUAGCUCGUUCUUUUCAUUCAUAACAACAGUCAUGCCUCCCUUUUUAGACACAACUUGAACUGGGCUUAACCACUCACUAUACAGCACAGGAUAUAUAAUCCCUGCAUACAGCAACUUUAUAACUUCCUUUUUAACUACCUCUCUCAUUGCGUUGUUAAGUCUACGUUGGGGCUCUUGAGAAGGUGAAACAGAAGGAUCUGUCAGAAUACGAUGGGUACAGAUCAUAGGACUGAUUCCUGUAAGAUCUUGGAGUGAGUAGCCGAAAACUGAGUGAUGUUUCUCAAGAAUGGUCAUUAAUCGCAGAGUUUGCUCCUAAGUGAGUUUAUCACUAAUGAUCACAGGAAACUCUGGAUUAUUGUUUAGGAAAGCAUAGAUAAGACCGGGUGGUAAAGUUUUAAGCUCUAUGGGAGGUCUAGGCGUUUCUGCAAACUCAUCUAAGGGUUCAGGUUCCGAAGGUUCGGCCUC